UUUUUUUUUUUUUUUUUUUUUUUAGUUUUUUGCUUAAAUUUCUUUUUAUGCCAAGUCUAUCCAUAAUAGUGGUCUAGUUGGAAGAUUACGAAAAAAAAAAUUAUGCGUUCUAAAAUUACAACUUUCAACUCUUAGCUGGCUUACUGGGUCCUAUAUAUAUAUAUGUACUCUUGUAUAUUCCCAUUACAUGCAUUUUCCAAAGGGGUAAUUUCAGAAACCUCCCUCGAGGUUUCUAACAAUUUCAUCUAGUACUUUUGAGGUUUUCAAUAUUACACUUACCUCCCUUGAUCCUAUAAAAUGACUAUAAUAAACUUAAUAUAUUAAUAUUUUUCAUGCAAUUAAAUAAUACGCUCCUAAUCUUGUGCAUAGAAAUGCACCACACAAUUAAAUAGUCAAUGGAAACAAAAACAAGAUCACUUAUAGAAUAACUAAUUAUGUCCUAAACAUAAUUCUAACAUAUUACAAAUUAAUUUUAGCUUGGCUUGAAAGAUCUAAAGAUGAAUAGAAAAAGAUAUAAGUUGAAGAUUUAAAUAUAACAGGCAUGAAUUGGUACUCCGAUAUUUGAGGGAUGAGAUGUUAUAUUAAUAUAGUUAGUGAAAUUUUUUAAGUUUAACAGUACUGAUUUUUUUUUCUUUUGUGACUUAGAUUGAGAUUUUAGAAUUUAAGCACUAAUGGCAGCGGUGGUCAUGAUGAUAAUGGCACUAAUUUGAAAUGUACGAAUAUGAAAGUUUAAAAUAAUAGAGAUGAAAGCGGAAAGUGGGUUUGAGAUUUUGUGCAUAUUUCAUACUUUUUUUUAUAGAAUUUUAUAAGAAGGUAAAAGGAACUUCACAAUUUCAUGAGGGCAAUUUGGGUUAUUCAUUCAAAAUUUUGACCAUUGAAUAGUUUUUUUUAACCAAAAUGGUAAAUUCAAGGGAGAUAUGUGUAAUUUUUAAAACUUUAGGGUACUAAAUGAAAUUGUUAGAAACCUCAAGGGAGGUUUCUGAAAUUAUCCCUUUUCCAAAUUUCAAUCUCCAGUAGUGCCCAACUUUCCAGUCUAUUCAUUGAGCAUGAAUGACGGCCCAUCAUCACCACAAAUUGUUGAAAAACAAUUCUCAGCUCGUGAUGCUGACUGCAUGGAAUUGACCAGAAAAAUCCCAAAACGACAACCUCAUCUCCUUUAAAGUCAAAAUAAUCCAAUCAAUGGAAAUAACAGGCUGGACUCCUUAAAAUCUUGAAUACUCGCAGGACCCAUUUCUUUAUUCAUCCAACUCGGACCACUGCCUAUAUUGUCCCACUUCUUCCAUGCGGAUGACUUGCAAAUUUCCGUCCUCCAUCCAUAAAGGCACUUACCAACUGUAUAUUCUUCCAUUGAUGAUCUCUUAAGUCUACAUUCUGAAUUGGACUAGGAGAAAAGGAUUGCAAAGAGUUGAAUACAUAAUAUCCAAUUUAUUCCGUGAAUUUAUGUACGACAGUGUAAGUAUUAAUACCCUUUUCACAUGUACAAAUUCUUCGUGUUUACUCAUAAAGGAGAAGCUCCCAUUUCAUGUCUUGCACUAUUUAGUUCUUAUAUUUUAAAUAAGAUUGCAAAAGCAAGCUUUUUUUUUUUUUUUUUUAUCUUCUCAGGAUUUGAGUAAUGUUCAUCUCAGGACCAUGAAACGUCUAUUGAAGUAUGGAUUGAAUCUUACAAGUGUAGAUGCUCGACUUUAGCUGCAGAUCAUGAUGGUGUCCCCAAACCAUAGAGCCUACUCAUGCCUUAACAUGCUCAUGCUCAUUUGUAAAGGGACAUCCAAGUGUCUUGUCCCUUUGCACCGACUUCACUCUUAGGCCAAAUGCAUCCCUUGCAUAGUUAUAAUCCAAUAAAACAGAUACAACAAUGAUUCAUCAAUGUACAAUAUCUGGAAAGGUGAAGUUGGUAGAUUGAAGAAUAGGUUCCAAUCUUGGUAACUAUGAUUUAAGUAUAGCUGAAAUUCAUGAAACCAACUUUCUGUGUCAAGGUGAAGUUGGUAGAUUGAAGAAUAAGUUCCAAUCUUAGAAACUAUGAUUUAAGUAUUGCUGAAAUUCCUGGAACCAACUUCUGUGUCCCAAAAGUGUAGUUACAACCGUAUUUAAUUAAUUGUAACCCUACAUAACUCAAGUAUGAGGACAACGGACCUCUUUUGGGAGGCUUACUUUCGAUUGAUUGAAAAGUUGAUAAAAAAAAAUACAAAGUCGAGAUUUUUUUUUUUUUUUUUUUAAAAAAAGUGAACAUGAAAUGCGGAUUAGGGGUGCUAUUGAGUCGAUUCGAGCUCAAGUAUCAUUAUACUCGAGUUCAAACUCGAUUAAUACUAGUGCUAUUCGAGGUUGAACUCGAACGAGUACGUAACAUUAAACUUGAGGCAAACUCGAGAGUUGUAAUUAAGUUCGAACUCGACUUGAUUGAACUUGAGAAUAUUGCGAGUGUUUUGAGCUCGAGCUAUUCGAGUUCAAGUUUGAUUUUUUGCUAAGACAUGAACCCAUAAUAAUAAUUUCAUAAUUAAAAAUUAUAUGUAUUUUAUAAAUAAUACAACUACUCAAUUAAACUCAUUGAGCACUCAAGUACUAAAUUCUUAUGUUCGGACUCAGACUCGCUAUAUAAAUCGAGCAGAUCGAACUCAAGCACAAACUCGAACUUUGUUUGACUGAGUUCAUGCCGAGUAUUUGACCAAGUUGCUCGCCCACACCCCUAAUACAGAUUAAGCUCACUUAGAUUUAAAGAUUAUUUUUGGAGUUUCCAAUAUGUCACCAAAAGAAAGUUGAUUAACUUGGAAUUAUACGAUUUAUGUACCCAAAAAAAAUAAAAAAUUCGGCUAACACUUUUCCAAUUCGCCAAGUCUCAAAUAGAAGUAUAACGCGAACCCAAAUUAGCAUAUAUACAAUUAAUUCCUUUUAAAAUAAGAAAGUGUCUCCAAAAAAACAAAGUAAUUGGCAGGCCCCAUCUGCUUAAAGGAAACAUCCAUUGAUCAGACUAUCAUAUUAAUCCACUCACGAGGCAUGUUGAACAAUUCAGUUACACCAACAUAGGGCCACCCUUUCAUACCCAAAAAAAUGCAAAAGCAUGUAGACGGCCACAUUUUCCAGCUGUACAUUAGCGGCCAAUAGUGCACUGAGUAAUUUUGUAUGAUUUGUGCAUGUUAAGUGCCAUUUUUUGAACCCUAUUGAACUUGUUAACAUGGAAGAGAAAGAACUUUAAUGCAGGAGAGGGACUACGAAAAGACAAAAGGUCUGCAAUAAGAGCAUGAGACAACAUUCUUUGGGCAAAUGCACACGUGAAAGAUACAACUACUAAAAUCUUUCAGUCUAUGCCAGAUCCACCCACAUUUCGUCCCUUUCAACUGAAAGAAUGUGAAGCUUGCAUUUUGCAUAUUACACGAGAACCUACAGUAGGAUAUGAGGCAAUAGUACAGGACAUUCCAAUUCCUCUAGAUUGUGGUUUGACAAUUUCUCCCAUAAUGUCAACAAAUGGAGCCUAACUUUUGCAAGUUUGAGGUAAGGAAAAAAAAGAAUAUCACUCGGAACAAAUUACAUUCACAAAAUUUUACAUUAUUCUCAUUCAGAAGACACAGGUAAUCUUUCCAAAGUGUCAAAGACAUGCCUCAUUGAUGGUCUUCUAUCAGGACUAGUUUGUAUGCAUGCCAUUGCAAUCUUCAGAACCGCGAUCAUCUCCUCUUCUUUGUCAGCAUCGUCAGCUAAAAAGGGAUCUAAAACAUCGGAUAGAGGUUUUUUCUCUUCAAUGCAUAGCUGCAUCCAGUGAACAAUGUCUAUUUCAGAGGUGCCUACCUGCACUAGAGGUGAUUUUCCAGUAAUCAUUUCCAGCAGUAUCACGCCAUAUGAGUAGACAUCCCACUUCUGUGAUGGCUUGACCACUUUCAGUGACUCCGGGGCUUGGUAAAAGGACCCAAUACUUGCAGCGGAAGCAACUGUGCCAACUUCCGAAGGUGCACUCCCUUGUUGCCUUUGUUGUGGCUUCUCUGAGAUCAUUCGACUUGACUGCAGGGUUGGGGAUCCUCCGGCAAUGUUAGCAAGACGUCCAAGUCCAAAAUCAGAAAUUUUAGGUUCCAUAUUUUGACCAAGCAAGAUAUUAGAUGGUUUGAGAUCUCCAUGGACAUACUUCUUGGGACUAUACUCAUGCAGAUAAACCAAGCCUUUUGCAAUUCCUUUCAUUAUCUUCAAGCGCAUAGACCACGACAGAGGAGUAAAGGAUACCAUUCCAGGCUUUCCUGGGAACAAAGUUCACAUAUGAAGAAUUUGAAGACAAGAUGAGCAACACUGUUAAGAAGAAAUAUUGAAAAAUAAGAAUAAUUCGCUCCGAGUUGUGAAGUGUUAAACUUACCAUGAAUUGCAGCAGUAAGGUUUCCAUUUGGAAUGUAAUCAUAUAUCAGUAGCUUCUCAUCCACAGACCAAUAAUAGGCUCGGAGGGUUACUAUAUUAGGAUGCUUUAGCUUUCCAAUUGCUUCAACUUCAGUCUGAAAUUCUUUAAAUCUUUGUGAACCACCUUCACCAAGUCUUCUCACUGCUAAAACAUGCCCAUCUUCAAGCACGACCUUAUAUACAAUGCCAAUACCACUCUUGCCUAGCACAAAUGCAGAUGCCUUUAGAAGCUCGUCUAGAUCAAAUGCCACCUGAGUGUCAAGUGGCACUAGAUCAUACUGCUCCACAUUUUCUGAUAAAGUUUCUGAUUCAUCCUUCCUAAAGCAUAAACACUCCUUCCCUCGCUUGCCUCCCUUCUCAAAACCAUAGCCAUCAACCCUCCUUUUGCCACAAGGACACAUCUUUGAAUAACAAUACGAAAACAGCAAGCCAACCAUGCAAAUUCCAAUCACAUCACACACAACAAUUGCAAUUACAGCACUUUUACUGAGCCCUCUUCCUCUGCUACCAUUCUCAUCCGUCCUUUGUGGAGGGUAGUUAUUAGGCAAGGAAGGAUAUGAAGAUGGCGAACUUGGUCCACUGUCUGAACAAGGAUCUUUCAAUGGAGGGCCACAAAGGCCAGGGUUUCCAAUAAAAGCAGUUGGCCCUCUGUUAAUUAGAGCACCAUUUUGUGGAAUAGGACCACUUAAUUUAUUAUAGGUGAGAUCAAUAUAAACCUUCUCAGGAAGAUUACCUAAGCUAGGAGGGAUUGAGCCAUCAAACAUAUUAUGAGACAAAUCAACAGUUCCUUGUAAAUUAGUUAAAUUUCCAAGAUCACUAGGAAUUGAACCGCUAAAGUUGUUAUAUGCAAGAUCAAGUUUUUCCAACAACACCAAAUUAGUCCCAAAUCCAUGAGGCAAAGGACCAGUAUGAUUAUUGUGACUAAGGUCAAGGAAACUCAAUCUUUUACAUUGAACAAAAGAAUCAGGCAGUGACCCAUUAAAGAAAUUCUCAGACAAACCUAGAGUUUGAAGGUAACUAAGCUUCCCUAUUUCAGACGGUAUCGGCCCAGAAAAGAAAUUCCCAAAAAGAACCAAACUUUUCAGCCCCUGAGCUGCAAAGAGCUCACCAGGUAAGCUGCCAAAUAACUUGUUAUUCCUUAAAUUUACGUGUCUAAGCUCAGGUAAAGAUCCAAGAGAAGAAGAAAGAAACCCAGUGAGUUUCUUCUUAGGAAUGCUAACAGAAACAACUUUCUGGUCUUUGCAUGUUAUACCAUUCCAAGAACAGGGGGUUUCAUCAGAAUGGUUCCAACUGUUCAUGGACCCUUCAGGGUCUUGCUGAAUGGCAUUCUUGAAUGACAUAAGCGCAAAUCCUUCAUUGUUCAAACACCCCACAAAACCAUGAAAACUAAAUAGACUUAAAAUGAACAAAAUUACAGUACUAUUAUCUAACAUUUCCAAGAAAAGUGACCGUUGGAAAUGUGUAAAAAAGGAUGUGUUUUAAAGGGCUUACCUUUGUACACCAGGAAAUCGAGUUGUUGCAGAGAAAGCUUAGAGAAGAACUGGGACUUGAGAGAACGUGAAGGAGAGAAAGAAAGGUCUGACAGGAAGUACUACUAUUGAGAGCAGAAAAAAGAGUGAUGGAGAAAGGUAAAGUUGGUUUCAGCUAGCAGAAGAAAAGAACAGGCAAUAUUAUUGAUUCUUUAGGGGGAAAAUGAAAAAUGGGAAACAAACGAAAGAGAAGGUUGGUGAGAGAAUCUAAGCAAACAAAAAUGAAAACGGAGUAAAGUUUUGUAUAACUAUUGAGGAUGUAUAUUAUUGCAAGUCAAUAAUGUAUGGCUAUAUUUGGAGAGUGACAUUUUCCCUUUUUUUUUUUGGGAAUGGUUAUAGUUUAGCAUUAGGCGCGCUCCCAAAAGCAAAAGUUCUUUGCACGAGCUCAUCACGUAUUCAAUAAUCAAUACUCUACAUGUAUAAAGCAUUUAAUGUUUUUCCAUGCACACAAUCCAAUAAUCAAUACUUUACAUACAAAUGCUUUCGGGGAUGAUUCUUUUCUUUUAAAGAUCAAUAGUGAGAUUUCUCUUAACUUUUUUUUUUUUUAUGACUUCAACUUAGAACAUAUCAAUUACAAGUGAAAUACAUUACCAAUUAAACUCCAUUUCAUUAUCAAACGGAAACGAUACAUCCCUAUGGACAAAUGAAUUAUAUAUAGUCUAUUACUAGUACACAUGCAUGUAGUUGUAUCUUUCUGUAUUUUUACUUUGAACAUCAUUUUGUGAAUUUGUGUAUGCAAUCAAACUGACAUUUGUGUGUGUGUGUGUGUGUGUGUUUUUUUUUCUUACAUUAGAUGAAAUGUCUUUAAAAAGAAGGCAAAUUUCAAUCAGGUUUAGCCCAGAAGUAAACAACGUUAGCAUGGAGUAAAAGAAACAUUUGACAGUCUGGAUUUGUGUUAAAACAAAAAAGUCCCAGUCCCCUAGGACCGUUGAGGGAGGACAUUGUGCAAUGAGUACAGUUAAUAUUAAAUUCACCAGGGAACUCCUUCCCAGUAGUUGCUUUGGUUCCUAUAAUCAACCAACCUUUUUGACUGCAAAUGGUCCAAUGAAUUCAAUAUCAAAACAUGCUAAUCUAAGCCAGCUGCGCUUAGAUUACCACAUAAUAGAGUAUUAGUAUUCCUAGUCCUAAAGCUGUCCCAAAAUUGUACAGCAGUGCCCACCGCAGGUGAGAACCAAUAGUGACUUUCCUGCUAUGCCUGUGACAUCCUUGUCCCUCUAUCUGUAGUACAGUAGCUGGGGUGCAAUGAGAGCCACUACAAUAUCAGUGAAAAUUACACCUAUAUAGUUUAGAUAUUAAAGCAAUAAAUGUAGGUAUGAAAAUAAUAAGUGUAGACAUGAAUUAUAAUUUUUGAACACAAAUUUCAACAAAUAUGAAUUUUUUUUUUUUUUGUGUUUUAUGCAAUUGUACUAGCAUACGCUCCAGAGAUAGUCUAGUGGUAAAACAGGCUUUGGACUGAAUAAAGUUCGAGGUUCGAAUUUUUCCUUAAUCUUGAAUCUCUCUUGUCUAACUUGGGUGCAUCGUGGGAGGUCGCGGCGUAUCUCCUAAUUUGAUGUAUCGCUCAGAUCUUAAGUGGCUCGAGUCAAGGUAUAUUCUAAAUAAAAAAAAUUGUAUUAGCAUACAUUUAUUACUUUAGUGCCUAUAUUUGUUUGGCUAGUAUUUAUUUCUACAGGGCUAAAACAAGAAAGUGGGGAUGCAUUGACUGACAUGUGGGCUAAGAAUGAAAGUAGCCGUUUGUCAUGAUGUAGCUGAGAAUUUUUAGAUAGGGAAGUAGAAUAUAAAAUAAUUAAAGAAAUCACACCAUUUAAAGAUCAUUUAAUUAUUCUUCGUGCCCAGAGAGUAAAUAAAAGUUAUUCUUUGCUGUUAAGAAAAAUAAAAUUGUGUUUCUUUUCCCCUCAUAACUCAAUCUAUAAUUAUCAAUUCGUGAUUAUUACGCUGUACCAUUGAAAGCUACCAGAGGACCAAUUCAAAGCCGUUGCAGGAAUGGGAUGAUGAUGCCAAGGACUCAAGAAUGAGCUUUUGAAUAAGGAUAUUCUAUCUUGUAGCUCCAAUAACGAAAGAAACCAUCCAUUAUCAUGCAAAGAAUGCGUCCAUAAAGGGUUUCUUUUUUUGGGUCAAAAUAAAACUAUUAUAUCUUUUAGGGAAUGUACACUUAAUGCUGAAUUUAUAAUGUAGUAAUCCAUACGAAUAAAUUUUAUACUGACAUUUGUAUCCAUGAUAUAUGUGUAUGUUGAAUUUUAAAUUCAAAAUUUGUAUAGUUAUUAUUCAUCUAAGUAUUGAUCGUGUAUACAUUGUCAGUAUAUAAAAAAAAUUAAUUCAUCAUUUUUUUUGAAACCGAUAAUUUUCUUUUCGUUUGUCAGAAAGAUUCAAGCCACUUGAUCAACAUCACCAAAUUAAUUUCCUUUACAAUAUGGUAACUAAAUUAAUUUACUAAAGUGCUACAAUUCUUACACUGAAGAGUACCAACUAUAUAUAUAUUUUUUUGGCUGUGAAAUAAUCAACACAUCGGCAGAUAAAUAUGGUGGAAUCUGGAAAGGUAAACCAAACAACUAACAGAGCCCAGAAGACGAACUUCCUAUCUAUUAUCUAGCAACAUACCAAAGCGAAACAGAGAACCUAAGGGAAAUCAAAUCAUGAGGACUACUUUAAUUUUAAUACGCUAAGCUUCAGGUACUCUAAGUAACGACGAGAAGGGAAAAACCAGCUCCAUCUUUGUCACGCCAGUUGACUUGGAAAUUUUAACGAAGACUUGUGGAAAAUUGCUGGUUGGUCCAUAUGAAAGGCAGGAAUUUUCCAUCCCAAUUUCCACGACGACUUAAACCACAGAAAGACUUGACUCGUUUGACUCUUCAACAAAGAAAGUGCACUUCACGUUUUUGAACCACAGAACUCUAACCUUAUGUGGACCUCAGAAAUUUGUAUAGAUGGUUUUAACAACUCUGUUUCAGGUCCUCUUGAUUGAUCAUCGAGAAUUGAGUUCUGAGAUCAGCUAAUUGGAUGUGUGAUUUCAUCUCUACCUAAUUUUAUAUCAUUGUUCCGUAAUAAGAAUCAGUCAAGACACAUUCAGAAAAAGUUGCAGCUGUAUAGGUGACUUCAAAACCAGGAAGUUUCUUGUUUACAUUUUUUGAGUAUUUUUUUUUUUUUUGUUUUCCCAUACUGGUCCCUGGAGAAGGCAUGGAGAUUAUUUGAAACUGUCCCUUCUCCCUAAAGUUCUCAAGGACUUGACUGAUGUAGUGUGGCUUAUGGCACCCAUCCUUGCCCACCGGGGGCCAAAAUCAAAAGCAAAAGAAGAAAUAGACACAAAGGUAACAAGAAAAGAAUUCCUUGUCAAUUUCAUGCAAAUCUGUCACAAGAAUUGAUUUUUAGCAGCCAAUCAUGCACCUAAUCUCCACAAUCUCUAUACCACUAGCUAGAUAACAUUUCUAGAUUGUGGAACGUGGAACACAACCUGCCCCAACAAAAUUAAAUGGCUAUGAAAAAGAAGGAAGAAGUGAAACAGAAAGAAACAUUCUUGAUCAAUAAAAUUAGCAGAAUCAUGAUUGCCAAGGCCAGAAAAAAGCAAGUUGCAGCCUAAUUAUGUACCCUUAACAAGCACAAAAUGAUGAUGUUUCUAAUGCCAUAUAAAUGAGCAAUAACUUGUUGAUGUUAGUAAACCAUAUGCUUCUUUUUAGCAGGAGUAAGACGACGUGUUUCUAACUCUUCUUAAACCCUAAUCCAUUGAUUUUUCCUACGUUUCUGACUUCUAACUCAAGGAAGAAGGAUGGUCUUUCUUUCAUUCAUUCAAGAAUUGGCAUUAGAGGGAGCCUCAAAUCAACUUUCACGAAUUCACAUGACUUUCACUGUUUGGGCUCCUAAUAAAGAUAUUUGUGAGGGAAAGGCACUAACUUGGGAGGCAACUAUAAAGGAAGCACAACUAGUUAAGACAGAUGAAAAUUGUUAGAAAUUCUAUCAUCACUGCAAUUCCUUUUGUAGGGCUGAGCAGUGCAGAAACAAACCAUUUCAUUUCCUUCCAACCCAAAAUAACCACUUCUUUCACAUUCUUUGCAACUAUUUCCACUCCAUGUAAGUGUAAAUCCAUUUUCCAACAACUUUACGCAGUCUAAAUUCUCUAUUGAUGAAUUAUUUGUCCCUCCUUCCAGGUCAACUGGUGCAGCAACAUGAGACUGACAAGGCAUUACACUAGAGUUGAUCUCAAUUUUUCCAUCUUCUAUAACAGCAUAAGAGUGGUACGGAGUAUCGGAAGCACAAAAUGAUGGGGUGCUGCCUAUAUUCAACUCAACAGGAAAGGAGCUGUUUCAAUCGUUAAACAAGCAGAGAUUGGCAAAAUUGUGGCCAAAUUUGACUGAAGACCGAUCAAAAGCAAAAAGUUCCCGGGGAGCAAUACAUGCAGCAUUCAGAACUUCAGCAUUCACCAACCGGAUGGAUUGGUUUUGGUAGGUGGCACUCAAGAACGUACUCACUUCGAGAUGUUAAAUAAACAGGUUUGUUUCCUUUUCAGGAUAACUCAAACCCUGGAUAACCACAACAAUCUGGAUAAUUUUCUUCUAUGAUCUGGACAGUGUAGCUUAUCUGUGGACCAUUUUCACAAUUUCUAGACUUGCAGGCUUUGUAUCUCCUGCCCACUGGUUCAACUGACUCUACCAAGAUAAUGUGCACCAUAAUAGACAUGACUCUAACACGAAAGACAGUGCUGAUUCUUAGCAAGCUGAGCUGAGCCAUUACUAGAGUGGAAAGGGUCUGUACCAUAUGAUAUCUAAGACGUAUAUAAUAACAUCUGAGCUAAAUUCAAAAUAAUUCAAGUCACCUUCAAUGGUUAGCAUUUUUGGUUUCUUACCAAAGUUUUUACUAACUUUGACAUGGUUUUGUUGUCUCAUUCUUGCGGCACUAUUAAACAAAUCUAGCAUUUUUAUGCCUCAAUUGUAUUCCUUUACCCUAUCAGGGAUCAGGGGUGGCUUAAACAUGUCACUUGAUUUUGAGUCCAUUACAAAAAAAAAAUCGUGCUCCAGACUUCAGACGUAGAAUUAUAUCUUACUGCAGAAGCAGAUAAGCCAUUUUCGCAGCCAAAAAAAGAAAAAGAAAAUAAAAACAGUAAAUACCAUUCAUAUCUUUGAUAACAAUAUGGGAUUGGCUAACUGAAUGCGAUUCAUAUCUUGAUAGGCAGAAAUUGUAAGCUAUUAUGUCCCCUAAUGUAAAAGAGAGAAUGGUAAAGGAUGGAGACUGGGCGAGCGAUUGUGUGUGUGUUUGCGUGUGGAAUUUAUUUUUCCAGGUUGACCUGGUGGAAGCUGGAGUUGACUCCAUUUUCUUCCAGAUUAUGUUGAAUAGCAUGUUUUGUGAAACUGCUAACAGAUUGCAGCAGUUAGUUGUUCACGUUGCUAUUUUUAGGCAAUAGAUAAGUCAAAGUAUUUGAUAUGAUUUUGAUUCUAGAAUCUUAUCUCUAGCAGAUUUUUUUCCAGAUUUUCUCUAAUUCUGUUUUGUUUAUGUUAUAUAAAAGCAUGGCUUAUGACUCAAUAAAAAUCAGACUUCUGCAAUACAAAAGUAUUCACUCUUGCUUUACCUUUUUCUGCUCUAAUACCCAACAAAGUGGUACCAGAGCUCUCAUCUUGAGGGAUGAUAGGGUGUUAAUUGUUAGCAAUUUUAUUGUUAAUUUCCCCUUUUAUCCUUGCCAAAUAUUAUUUUAAUUAUUAAUAUUUACUUAUAUUUGGUAUUGGACCCAAUUUCAGGGAUUGAAGAAGAAAAUUACCAAAAAGGAGGGACUUGUAUGGAAAAAUGCAGACUUCUAAGGGCUUCAACCUUUGGGUCCUUGAAUUGGUGGGGACCACAAUCUAGUGCAAGGCAUUUAGUCAUUUGGGUUUUUCAAAGAAAGCAACGUAGAGAGACUUGGAACAACAAGUACUUUGGAGAAUUUGUCCACAUGUGCGGGGACCACGGAUAAGAAGCAUGAGUCAUUUGGACUCUAGGAAAAGAAACGUACAAAGCUUGUGAAAUGGAAUUGGACUUUGAAUUUGGUGUGGGGACCACUAGAGAUAGCAUUAGACUUCCUUUUGGCUUUAAAAAGGGAAAAACGUACGAGAGGGGGAACACACGAGUUUUAGGCUUUUAGUUUAGUUUUUAGUUUUCUUUUCUUAGCUCUUUCGCAUGGUUGUUCUCCAUUAAUGGAGGACUAACCUCUUAAUUCUAGUCAAGGGGACAACUGAAGACUUGGUUCAACAAUUACUGUGAGAUUUAAUUUAUUUUAAUUGCUUCCUUAAUUUAUUGGUAUUUAUAUGUUUCCUGCUUUUAAUUGCUAUAGCUCGUGUGAGUGAUUGAAUAGAUGUGCAAUAUUUAAUUAUUCACAUAGGCUAUUUUGCUAAAUAGGGAUAAUUGAAUCCGUAAUUGUUCGUUAUCUUUAUCUCAGUAGCAACUGGCGUAAUUGGGUUUAUGUCAGGGGAACAUACGAUCUAACUUAAACAAACCCUCGUAGCGUGUUUGUUAGUUAGGAUUGGAUCUUUCUAAUUAUUAAUGCAAUCUAGAAAUUAAACCCUACGGUCGUACCUAGGCUUGUUUUUGGGUUAGAGAAAUAGUUAACGGUCGUACCUUAACUAUCGAGAAAGUAAGGAAAGGUUGGUUGUUUAUCGCGUGCAGGGCAACUAUAACUAAUCUAUUAAUAAAUUUGAAAUUAUCUGUGAAUCAAUGAUCAGUGCCUGAACCAUUUCUGAAGUGUACCCUUGGCUAGAGUUUUCCCUUAAUUAUUUCUUUUAAUCAAUUAUUUCCUGCAGUUAAUUUAUUUAGUUGGCAUUUAAUCCAAAACCCCCCAUACCUUGGACUCUAGAAGAAACGAAUUAUCCCCAGUCCCUGUGGAUUCGACCCUACUCACCGCUAUAUACAAAAUCUGUAUUUUUCUCGAGUAGGUAUUUAUUAUUGUACAGGUUCGGCACCUGUCAAGGGAUCUGUGAGGAUUGAGAGAGUUUAAACACUUACCCUUAUUACGAUGAAUCCAGAAUUUUCCUCUACUUAUCAACUUGGACCUCCCAUAUUUGAUGGAACAAAUUAUCAAAUGUGGGCUGUCAGAAUGGAAGCGUAUCUUGGUGGAAAUGAUUUGUGGGAGGCUGUAGAGGAUGAUUAUGAAGUACUUCCUCUUCCAAACAAUCCAACAGUUGCUCAAAUGAAACACCAUAAUGAGAGGAGACAAAGGAAAUCGAAAGCCAGAGCAAGUCUAUAUGCAGCUAUCACAUCCACAAUCUUUACCAGAAUCAUGACGUUGAAAACAGCACAUGAGAUCUGGAAUUUCUUGAAGAAUGAAUAUGAAGGAGAUGAAAAAAUCAAAGGGAUGCGAGUGUUGAACUUGAUUCGAGAAUUUGAGAUGCAGAAGAUGAAAGAUUCAGAAACUAUCAAGGUCUAUUCCGACAGACUCCUUGACAUAGUCAAUAAAGUAAGACUCCUUGGUACUGAUUUUUCUGAUUCUAGAAUAGUUCAAAAAAUUCUAGUUACAAUCCCUGAAAAGUACGAGGCUACAAUCGCGGCCUUGGAAAACUCAAAAGAUCUGUCAAGUAUCACCUUGGCAGAGUUGUUAAAUGCACUACAGGCACAAGAACAAAGAAGACUGAUGAGGCAAGAAGGAUCAGUGGAAGGUGCCUUUCAAGCCAUAUCACAAUACAACAACAGGGGCAAGAACAAGAAAAACAACAAAAAGGUGCCUGGAAAUAACAAAUCUCAAGUAUAUCCACUUUGCUCUUAUUGCAAAAAAACCAAUCAUCCGCAGAAAAGGUGUUGAUGGAACCCAAAUGUAAGAUGUCACAAAUGUGGUCAGUUAGGGCAUGUGGAAAAGAUAUGCAAGUCUCAACAGCAACAAGAAGAAGCCAAGGCUGCUGAGUAUCAACCUCAGGAAGAGCAAUUGUUUGCAGCUUCAUGUUUUGCUACUAAUAGCUCCAUGGAAAGCUGGCUUAUAGAUAGUGGUUCUACAAACCACAUGACUUAUGAUCGAGAGCUUUUCAGAAAGCUUGAUAAAACUACUACCACUAGAGUCCGGAUUGGAAAUGGAGCUUACCUUGCUGUAAAAGGCAUAGGAACAGUGGCAAUUGAAGGGUACACAGGUUUGAAAUUAAUUUCUGAUGUUUUAUAUGUUCCAGAAAUUGAUCAAAAUCUUUUGAGUAUUGCUCAGUUGUUGGAAAAAGAUUAUAAGGUGCUAUUUGAAGAUAAAAGCUGCAUAAUUAAAGAUCCAGAAGGAAGAGAAAUGUUCAGAAUUCAAAUGAAAGGCAAAAGUUUUGUUUUGGAUCUGAUGAGAGAGGAGCAAGCGGCUGUACACAAAGAAAUUAAUGAUGCAGCGCUUUGGCAUAAGAGAUUGGGCCAUUUUCAUCAUGCUGCUCUGUUGUUCAUGAAGAAAAACAACUUAGUAGAAGGUAUGCCUGAGUUAGAUGAAGAGCUUCCUACUUGUGCUGCUUGUCAAUAUGGGAAGCAAUCAAGGCUUCCUUUUCCCCAAAGUACAACGUGGAGAGCUACACACAAGCUACAAUUGAUACAUACAGAUGUUGGAGGACCUCAGAAAACACCAUCUUUGAAUGGUAGUAAGUUUUAUAUUCUCUUCAUUGAUGAUUACACUAGAAUGUGUUGGAUUUAUUUCAUGAAAUUCAAAUCUGAGGUUGCUGACAUCUUUUGGAAGUUUAAAGCGUGGGUUGAAAAUCAAAGUAGUUGCAGCAUACAGGUGAUCAGGUCCGAUAAUGGAACUGAAUAUACCUCAAAAAAAUUCAACAAAUUCUGUGAAGAUGCAGGCAUAGAGCACCAACUGACAGCCCCCUACACUCCCCAGCAAAAUGGAGUGGUGGAGCGUAAAAAUAGGACGCUUAUGGAGAUGACAAGAUGCUUGUUACAUGAUAAAGGGCUGCCAAAGAAAUUUUGGGCGGAAGCUAUGAACGCGGCAAUUUUUAUACUAAACAGAUUGCCAACGAAAGCUCUACAGAAAAAGACGCCAUUUGAAGCAUGGCAUGGCUACAAGCCAAAAUUGCUUUAUCUAAAGACCUUUGAUUGUUUGUGUUACUCUUAUAUUCCUCAGGUUAAAAGAGACAAGUUAGACAAGAAAGCAGAGUCGGGGAUUUUUGUAGGCUAUUGCUCAUCUUCAAAGGCCUACAGAAUCUAUUCACCACAAAACAACAAAAUAAUUGUGAGCAGGGAUGUUAAAUUCCUUGAGUCAGACAGCUGGAGUUGGGAAAAUGAAGAUAAAUUUGAAAUGCAGGUAGAGAAUGAUGAUGUCGAUGAAGAACCUGUUAGAGGAACCAGAUUACUCUCUGAUAUUUAUCAGAGAUGUAAUGUUGCUGUUAUGGAGCCUGCAGGAUUUAAAGAAGCUACAAUUGAUCAGAAAUGGAUAGUUGCAAUGAAGGAGGAGCUCAAAAUGAUAGAUAAAAAUCAAACUUGGGAGUUGGUGGACAGACCUACACACAAAAAGGUGAUAGGUGUCAAAUGGGUUUAUAGAACCAAAUUAAAUUCUGAUGGUUCUAUAAACAAGCACAAGGCAAGACUCGUCGUUAAGGGAUAUGCUCAGAUGUUUGGAGUAGAUUUCUCCGAAACAUUUGCUCCAGUUGCCAGAUUGGAUACCAUUCGAAUGUUGUUGGCUCUUGCUGCACAAAAGGGCUGGCUUAUACAUCAAUUAGAUGUUAAGUCAGCUUUUCUAAAUGGAUACCUGGAGGAAGAAAUCUUUGUGGAGCAACCUGAAGGAUUUGUUGUUCAAGGAAAAGAAAAUAAGGUGUAUCGUCUAAAAAAGGCAUUGUAUGGUUUAAAACAGGCACCGAGGUCUUGGUACAGCAGAAUUGAUGCACACUUGAUGAACUUAGGCUUUGAAAAAAGUUUGAGUGAAUUUACCUUAUAUAUCAAAAAGGUUGAUGGUGAAAUACUUGUGAUAUCUUUAUAUGUUGAUGACCUUCUUGUUACAGGAAGCAGCAAGGAGUUGAUUGAUAAGUUCAAAAAGGAGAUGGAAGAUGUCUUUGAAAUGACUGAUAUUGGUAUGAUGUCAUUCUUUCUUGGUAUGGAGAUACAACAAAAGCAAAAUGAAGUGUUUAUAUGCCAGCAAAAGUAUGCAAAGGAGGUCCUGAAAAAAUUUAACAUGGAAGGGUGCAAAUCAACUGCGACUCCAAUGAAUCAAAAGGAGAAGUUUUGCAAAGAAGAUGAGCUGAAAAAGUUGAUGAAGGGCUGUAUAGAAGCUUAAUAGGCUGUCUAAUGUAUUUGACUGCAACCAGGCCAGAUAUCAUGCAGGCAGUGAGUCUGUUAUCAAGAUACAUGCACUGUGCUAGUGAAAUUUAUUUUCAAGCAGCAAAAAGGAUUUUGAGAUACGUUAAAGGUACUGUUGAUUAUGGAAUAAGGUUCAGUCAAGUUAAAAAUUUCAAUUUUCGUGGUUUUUCUGAUAGUGAUUGGGCUGGAUGUGCUGAUGAUAUGAGGAGCACCUCAGGUUACUGUUUUACUUUUGGGUCUGGAAUUUUUUCAUAGUGUUCAAAGAAGUAGGAUGUCAUAGCUCAAUCCACUGCAGAAGCAGAAUAUGUAGCUGCCACUGCUGCUGUGAAUCAAGCACUAUGGAUAAGAAAACUCAUGACUGAUCUACACAUGAAACAGGAAGAUUGCACUCAGAUAUUUGUUGACAAUGAGGCUGCAAUUUCUAUUUCCAAUAAUCCAGUGUUCCAUGGCAAAACGAAACAUUUCAAGAUAAAGCUUUAUUUUUUGAGGGAAGUGCAAAAGGAGGGAGAAGUGCAGCUGAUUUUCUGUAAAACAGAAGAUCAAAGUGCUGAUAUCUUUACGAAGGCUCUUCCCAAGGAAAGAUUUGAGUUCUUGAGGCAAAAACUUGGAGUAUGCAGUUCCAAAACCAAGGAGGAGUGUUGAAUAGCAUGUUUUGUGAAACUGCUAACAGAUUGCAGCAGUUAGUUGUUCACGUUGCUAUUUUUAGGCAAUAGAUAAGUCACAGUAUUUGAUAUGAUUUUGAUUCUAGAAUCUUAUCUCUAGCAGAUUUUUUUCCAGAUUUUCUCUAAUUUUGUUUUGUUUAUGUUAUAUAAAAGCAUGGCUUAUGACUCAAUAAAAAUCAGACUUCUGCAAUACAAAAGUAUUCACUCUUGCUCUACCUUUUUCUGCUCUAAUACCCAACAGAUUAUCUUGGAAGUUAUAACGAAUUGUAUAAAAGGAGGACUUCUGCGUCCUUUCCUUCGUAGCGCUCGAGAACAUCCCUCAGAUUUAGAUGAUAGGUCGCAGAUUAACUCACUCGCCUGUAGGAUUAGUUAUACAUCGGGGGUCUGUUUCUCACGAUUUAGAAAGCUCCAUCUUUCCUUAACCUUGAAUAUUAAACAACAUAAAAGAAAUAAAGAUGUAAAUUAUGCAUCAGUUUUUUUUUUCUUUUUUUUUGGGUUUCUUUCUAUUGCAAGAAACAACAUUAACAACCAUUAGUUUCCAUUCUCCCAUAAUCACAUUUCCAUGGCUCGGCCCAAAAUCUUCAAAAUCUUUGAGGAUUGGGUGCUUGUCAAGGCCCAAGAUAUUCAUCGUCAUCAGAAAUUCAGAAAUUAGUUAAUGCCUAUACAAUGGAGGGAUAAAUAUCUAAGUAUAUAUGAAAAUCCAAGAAGCUAAAACUAAAUACUGAAUAGCUUUCUACUGGCGAACUCAUGAUACACAUCAGGCGCAGAUACAACAUUUUGGUGUGACACCUAUUUACAUAUGAAUAAUUAAACAACCAAUAAAGAUAUGAAUCACUGACUCAUAGAGUUAUAAACGAAUCAAAUCGCUCGUGAGCUGAUUUGAUCAAAACUCAAGUCGAGUUCGAGCACAAAGAAACUCAACUCCUUGGUUCGCGAGCUAACUCUAUAUAUAUAUAUAUAUUAAUGGUGAAAUUACAUAUAUAUUCCUAAUGUUUUAUUAUUUUUUAAACAAUCCCUUGUGUCCGCAAAGGAAAUAGUCUGGACAAGUUGAAGUUGAGAACAAAGGCAUCAUCGCAUGGAAGAGAAAUACUCAAAAUUUAUAACAAAUCCAAGAUCCAUUUUAAUUUACUUGAUGAACAAUACUGUUAGGAGAAUAUUAGUAUUCUUGUAGAUAAUAUAUUAGUAUGGGUAUUCUUGUAAAUAGUCGGUUAGGUUUGUACUCCUAUAAAUACUAGUUGGUCACUCAUAAUACUGUGACUAGAUGUUUUCCUCCCAAGAUACCUGUUGACAUGGUAUCAGAGCAAAAGUCCUAGGGUUAGGGUUAAACAUCUAGCAAAAGUUUUGGUCAUCGCGACUGUUCACGCGAUACUGUUCAUCGCGACUGUUCACUGUUCAUCGCAUACUGUUCAUGCGACACUGUUCACUGUUCACGGCGCUGUUCACUGUUCACGGCGCUGUUCACUGUUCACGCGCUGUUCAUCUCGAGUUUUGACCUUUUCUUUGGUUUGACGUGUCAUUCACCAUGGUUGAAAGGUUUGUUAAUGCGGUUACCAAUGACCACAUUGAAUCGAGUUUUUCAGCACAUGGGUCCCAGAAGACUGUCACUAUAUCUGAGGAAGAUUAUGUUAAAUUCCUACAGUAUCAAGCUACAAAUCACGCAUCUCUUCCCUCUGCUUCUUUAGCACAAAAAGGUAAUGACUCAUGGAUUAUUGACUCCGGGGCUACUGAUCAUAUGUCAGGUACUUCUAAAAUUUUUUCUAAUUUUCAAGAGGCUACUCCCUUUCCUCAUGUUACUUUAGCUGAUGAAUCUACCACUAAAGUUAAAGGACUAGGCACUGUAGAAAUUAAUCAAUCACUUCCGCUGUCUUCUGUUCUUUACGUACCCAAUUUACCCUUUAAUCUAAUGUCUGUUAGUAAGUUCACUAAAUUUCUACAGUGUACAGUUACUUUCUCUCCUGAUUCUGUUGUCAUUCAGGAUUUGAAGACAAAGAGGACGAUUGGUGGAGGGCAUGAGCAUAAUGGUCUUUACUUUCUCAACUUCAAUGGUCCGAUAGCAUGUCCUGCUACUGUUUCUCCUCUUGAAAUUCACUGUCGUUUAGGUCAUCCAUCUUUACAAAAUUUGAAAAAGUUGGUUCCUACUUUGAGUCAAUUAUCUUCGUUAGAAUAUGAGUCUUGUCAGUUAGGAAAGCAUCAUCGUGUUGGAUGUGAAAAAUGCAUUUCUGCAUGGAGAUUUGGAAGAAGAGGUAUAUAUGGAACAACCUCCUGGAUUUGUUGUUCAGGGGGAGAAUUCGCAGUUGGUUUGUCGUUUGAAAAAAUCCUUAUAUGGAUUGAAACAGUCUCCAAGGGCUUGGUUUGGCCGGUUUAGUAUUGUGGUCAUGGAGUUCGGUCUGACAAGAUGUGGAGUAGAUCACUCUGUAUUUUAUGGACAUUCUAAUGCUGGUAGAAUUUUAUUAGUUGUUUAUGUGGAUGAUAUUGUGAUUACAGGUGAUGAUGUUGUGGGGAUCCAGAAACUUAAAUCCAAUCUGCAGGUAAACUUUCAGACAAAAGAUUUAGGUCAUUUACAGUAUUUUCUGGGUAUUGAGGUAGUUCGGUCUAAAUAUGGGAUUUAUUUAUGUCAAAGGAAAUAUGUACUCGAUAUGUUGAGUGAAGUUGGGAUGUUAGGUUGCCGACCUGUGGAUACUCCUAUGGAUCCCAAUGUGAAAUUAGCAAGAGAUCAAGGAGCAUUACUUGAUGAUUCUAAGCAAUAUCGAAAACUUGUGGGUAAGUUAAAUUAUCUCACUGUAACGAGACCUGACAUUUCGUUUGCAGUGAGUGUUGUGAGUCAAUUUCUUGAUAUCCCUCGUACUAGUCAUUGGGAUGCUGUUAUACGGAUUCUCAGGUAUCUUAAGGGUGCUCCUGGAAAAGGGUUGCUGUAUCAAAAUCAUGGACACACUGAUAUUGAAGGAUAUAGUGAUGCAGAUUGGGUCGGUUCUGCCUCAGAUUGAAGAUCGACCACAGGAUAUUGUGUGUUUGUUGGGGGUAAUUUAGUGUCGUGGAAGAAUAAGAAGCAAACAGUUGUCUCCAGAUCAAGUGCAGAAUCUGAAUACCGUGCUAUGGCUCACACUGUGUGUGAGUUGGUUUGGUUGAAAAGCAUGUUACUUGAAAUUGGGUUUGAGUAUAAACAGCCUAUGAAUUUAGUGUGUGAUAAUCAGGCGGCUGUCCAUAUUGCGUCUAAUCCAGUGUUUCAUGAAAGGACAAAACAUAUUGAAGUUGAUUGUCAUUUCAUUCGAGAGAAAUUACUUGAUGGAGUCAUCAAGACAUCUCAUGUACCGUCUGCAGAUCAAUUGGCUGAUUUGUUUACCAAGAGUUUAGGGGGCACUAGGGUGAAAUACCUUUGUAACAAGUUGGGUGCUUAUGAUAUAUAUGCUCCAACUUGAGGGGGAGUGUUAGAAAAAUAUUAGUAUUCUUGUAGAUAAUAUAUUAGUAUGUGUAUUCUUGUAAAUAGUCGGUUAGGUUUGUACUCCUAUAAAUACUAGUUGGUCACUCAUAAUACUGUGACUAGAUGUUUUCCUCCCAAGAUACCUGUUGACAAAUACCAAAUGAACAGGAGCAAAGAAAUAAAUGAUUGUGCUUACCAUUACUUUUGGAUUCAGUCAGUUGAUAAUGUUCAUCAAUAAAUUUACAGCUUCAUUUGGGCAAGGCAGAGGUACUGCUGUUGACUGGAGUUGUUAAGAGGGUUCCCAGGAAAAAUGAGUAGGAUGUGAUAUUUCUGGAACCCACACCAUAUGUUUUUUCUACAUUGGCUGCUUGUGCUCUCUACUUUGACAACAGAAAAUUCAUAUUUCACAGUCACUUGCUGCAUGACUUGCCACUUAGAGACUAGGAAGUAUAAAGAUGCCCUUCUAGUUCUAACCAAGGCAAAUAUGACAUGUGGUAUUAAGAUUGAAGAGCCUUGUAAACGAACAAUGCAGCAUCACUUUGUCUUGCACAAAUAGUGAAUUGCAGAAGUAGAUAGCGGUCAAUCCCAACAAACAAUUACUAUGAAACCAUAAUGGUGAAGACUUAGAAAUGGGUGUCCGUUUCAUCCAAGUACAAUUUUUAUUGGAAAAAACCAUAUCACAUGCUAUCAAAUUACUUCAAGACUAGUGCCGAUUUUGGAAAGUACUUGAGAUACAACGAGAGAGCUGCACUCAAACUGGGCAAGUUUUGUGUUGAUUGUGUUAGCCUAUAUAUUUUACACUGACGGGUAGUAGGAUUAAUCAUUAUACAGGGAGAUGAACUUUAGCAGAAAUGGAAAUCCAAGACUUCUUCUGGACGUUGAAACAACUGGUAUUACAAAUGAAGGGGACGAUUGGGUUGGGUGGUAGGACUAUUAAUGGGGUCAAACCAUCUCGAUUCGUUCGGUUCGAGAAAAGUCCAAUGAGUCCAAUCUUUUGGUGAGUUGGAUUGAGUUUAGACCUAAAAACUAGAUCGAAUUCAAUAUGAGUCGAAAUUUUCAUUAGACUCAAUUUCGAUAGAGGUCCAGCCUUUUAAUAUAUAUAUAUAUAUAAUAUUUAUAUUUUUAUAUUAUAUGUAUAACUAUAUAUCCAAAUAUAUUAUUACUAAAUACUAAAUAUAUACAAAUUACGAAAUACAAAAAUACAUUUGAAGGCUGAAGUCUCAACAUUUUUCAAAGAGAAGUACAAAACGAAACAAAUCAAUUUUUCCUGUUGGUAACUAUAUGACUCAUAAGACAAAUCAAUUUGUUUACUUCUAUUUGGAUUCAAGUCACAAGGCUAUAAAGAAGUUCCAACCUCUAAAUAUGUAUUGGCUUAUAAUUGCAUAUUUUAUUACUUUUUUAAUGUAAUUUGAAUGAAUUAGAUAUAAAUAUUAUUAAAAAAAUUCUUGAUAUAUGUACUUUUUAAGAACUAUUACUUAUUUAUGUAUAAUUUUAAUGUUAUAAUCUCGUGAAUAUUAAAUUAGUUUUACAACUUAAUAGUUAUAGUAAUUAAAGAAAUUCAACUCGUUAGUUCGCGAGUUGGCUCAAUAUUAUAUAUAUAUAUAUAUAUAUAUAUAUAUAUAUUAAUGGUGAAAUUACAUAUAUGUUCCUAAUGUUUUAUUAUUUGCUAAAGAAAAAUUACUAUUUUAUUCUUUUUUAAAAAAAAUAAAAUAAUUAUUUUUUUAAAGUUUGAAUUGGCUCGAGCUUGACUUGGCUCGAAUUUGAGGUUGAACUCGAGCGCAAGUUUUACAUUGAGAACUCAUCGAACUCGAUGUCGAGUUUUAUAAAUUUGUGUCGAGGCUGAACUGGAUUAAGGCAAAACUCGACUCGGCUCAACUUGACCGUUUGCAGCCAUUGAGAAAGAAUCAAUAUUAGAACAUUCAGUGCGAAAAAUGUAGGAAUUAUACUACUUUAACUCCACUGGGUCGUUUCCCUUCCAUGGCAUCUUUCUUGUUACGACAAUCAGAACCAAGGAAAGGCCCUUGCCAAGGCUUUGAGCUAGAGAGAUUAUGGAACCAGCAUGACAUGAAAAGGCCAACUCAUGUUGUUGUCUGACCAUUGGAGUCAUCAUUUCCUAAUCUGCACGCUAUACAAGAAAGAACUUGAAAAACUUUCUUAAAUGCAACUAAUGCCUGUUUCUGCAACUAUAUUUUUUGGUAAUUACUAGUCAUGAAAAAAAGCAUGCAAGUCAACUUGGAAUAUGAUUUAUAUUUCCAAUCUGUGGUAGAGGUAGACAACUUUUGACAGUUGAAACUGUGUGAUCGUGUACCCGAAAAUCACAUAGUAAUUUUCUAUUAGAUGAAUCAACGGUGAUUUCGUGCAAUUGAGUCCAAAUCCUGGGAAGCCACAAUAGGAUUCUUGCAGACCUUGAAUGUAGAAUGGAUAUUUUAUGCUUAUAUUUCCACAAGAUUUUCGAACACAUGCUUCAUACUGGAAAUGAGCAGCAGACGAUUUUUCUUCGAGAAAGACGAAAAGGAAUAUGAAAAUCUGUGGAAACAAUAUGGGAAUGGCUGACUGCAUUCGGUUAAAUAUCUUGAUAGAUAGAGUAUAUUUUGUAUAUGUCCCCUAAGCAAUGAGAAGUGGGGAGAGCAAGCAAUGGUGCAUGCGUUUUUGUGUCUGAGGAAUUGAUUUUAUAAUCCUACAUAGCACUCAAGAACAUCCCUCCGUUUUGGAGACUUUUUUAGUGAGAAAACUUGAACCCAAGAUCUCUGAAUUAUAAACUCCCCGUUUUUCAAUCGAGACUACCAUGUUUCUCAUAAUUUAGCCAGUUCUAUCCUUCCUUAGCCUUGCGUCCAAAAGAAGAAGAGGAAAGGGAAAAAAGGAAGAGACGUAUGUGAUGAAUAAGAUUAUUUUUCUUAGUUCUCUAUCUAUUGCAGGAAACACAACUAACAAAUUUCCAAGAAAAAACUCAGAGGAAGACCAUUAGUUUCCCCUCUCCCAUACCAUGUUUAUGGCUUGGCAAAAUCCUCGAGUCUUUGGGGAUUUGGUUGCUAUCCAACGUUUUCAUCAUCAAAAGAAAUUCAGAAUCUGUCAAUGCCUGUACAGCGGGUUGUCAAAUAUCUAGUAUGAAUAAUGACGUUCCAAGAAAGCUUAAUGUAGAUACUAAAUUAAUUGACCAACCGAUAAAAAUAUCGAUCAAUAAAGAAUCGGGAUUCGAAAAUUCAGUGCAAAAAAUGAAGGAAUUAUACUACUUUAACUCCACUGGGCCGUUUCCCUUCCAUGGCAUCCUUCUUAUUACGACAAUCAGAACAAAGGAAAGGCCCUUGCCAAGGCUUUGAGCUUGUGGAGAAUAUGGAACCAGCAUGAACUGAUAUGCCUUCACUUGGAGCAAGAUCAGUCUGGCAAACAGCACAUAUGAAAAGGCCAACUGUUGUCUGACCACUGGAGUCAUCAUUUCCUAAUCUGCAAAGUAUACAAGAAAGAACAUGAAAAACUUUCUUUUAUGCGACUGAUGUCUGUUCCUGCAACUGAUAUCUAGUGAUCAUUACAAGUCAUGCAAAAAGAGAAUGCAUGUUGACACGGUGAAUGUGAUUUUAUAAAUUACCAAAUGCAUCGGAACCAUGUAAUACUAUAACCAGGUGUUUUCCUGGUUGAUUGAUAUGAACUUUGGGAGCUGAUAUUUCCUGAACUUAGUCAGUGGAAGUUCAAUGAAAGUAAUACUUAAUAAACACUAUCUCUAAUUUUUUGUGAAUCCACUCUAUCACCAGCUGUCUAAGGAAAUAUUUCUGAGGGUUACCAUUGUUCUGAACCAUGAACAUCACUCUAUCCAGUAUAAUAUGUCUCGCAAAUUGCAGAAAUCAACUGAUUAAGAGUACCUUCAAGUCUCCUUGAAGAAAAUGACUAGUUAACUAAGAAGUCAAGUGUUCUGCCCAAUCCUGUCGUGAUCCCCCUAAUACUGAUGACCUCCCAAGUUGAGAUGAAUAUGAACAAGAUUAAGAACACCCAGAAGGUUUGGUCUCAUUCUAUACCACUACCACUCAUUAACUAUUCAAUCUCAUGUAGUUCUGCAGAUGCAGUAGCAGGUUAACAGUUCAAAGUAAAACAAAUUAAAGAAAAUUAUUUGCCAGGUGAAGUCUAAAAUUUCAAUGCUGUAGAGUAGAGAAAUCUAACCUUUCUGCAAGCAUUGCUGACCCUUCUUCAAAUAAUUCUUCUACUAUUCCUACAGCUGAUAGCUUCUUUGAUAGUCUGCUGGAAGAAUCACGGAAUAUCUUUCUAAACAAAAAUGCUUGGAAUUUGUUAUACUUCUUUGGUGGAGCGGGAGGUUGAACAGUGUUAUCAGGAGGAAUUAUGUCAACCACUAUACAAGUUGUGUCAUCCUUAAGGCCGCGUGUCCUCAAUGCUUCCUGAACAACAUACAACAGCGCACUUUCAAAAAGUUCAUUUGCUAUCUAAUUUCAGUGCCAGUCACGUCUUCCAGUUGUUUAGGUGUCAUGUGGUUAGGUGCAUGAAGGUCAUGCAUGCAUAUUCUCAAUUUGCCGAUAAAUUACCUUAACCACUUGUCUUGCAGCAAGUUCUGCAGGCAAUCCACGACAUGAUUUUGCUGCCACUUCUGAAGAUAAUGCAUCCCAAAUACCAUCAGAUGCAAUUAUCAUCCUCCCACCUGCAUUUGAUAGCUGGACCAAGAGAACAGGAAGGUCAAUAGCCAAGUCAGUCACACAUUAAGCAUCAUCUAAACCAAGGAACUAACAAGUUAUAUAGCAGGGGGAUAAAAUGUAAGAGAGAUAGUGAAACAGUGACGAGAAAAGAACAGAGUAAAAUUGAUUGAAUGAGCAUAGAAGAGGAAGCCAAAAACUGAGCAGAUACCUUAACUUGUUUGACAUGAGGUAUUGGAACAAUAAAUUCCCCAACAUCCAUGUCUCCAAUUGAUCUUGAAAGGCAUAAACCCCCUGGCCAACAACGAAGGGGACCUAUCUGCGCACAUGAAGUAAGCAUGUAAUUUCACAAUCUGAAAACCAAUUAAGAGGCAGCUGCUUCUGUGAUCAAGCCCAUUGGUAAGACCACUAGAAGCAUAACCAGAAACAGAAAAUUAAGGACUCUAAACAAUCUACCUCAGAUCCGCCAAAAAUGCUCAGCCUUCCAACCUCACCUCCACUUGCUGUAACUCGUUCCCUUCUGUAAUUAAAAGACACAGAUUAACAUCUGCCUAGAAGAAGAUGAAACACUGGAGUUAAAAGUUAGGUAUUUACUCCUCAACAUUUUCUUCAAGUCUAUGAUCAACAGUCAGCGCUGUGACAGCACCACCCUGUGUAUCCAAAACACACCGUGAAUCACCAACGGAUGCAACUGUCACAGUCCAUCCAUCAACUAUAACAAAUGUCGCUGUCGUUCCAGAAGUUUGGCCUGUUGAAAACAAGAUAAUAAAAAGAAUUCAUCUUCUUAAGACCAUAACAAUAUGCUAGGUGGCUGGUAAAUUGCUACAAGUAACAAAAUGUCAUGCCUCUGCUCUGAAAUUCCUUGUCAGUUUUCACAAAUCCUGCAACUAAUGCCCGAGGCAGAGCUUGUAGCCACUCUUCCCGUCCAAGUCCACGAGGAAUGGCGCUCAAAAUAUGAUUCAACAAAUUAUCCCUAGAAAAAAUUGCAGCAGCAUUUCCAUUGUGCCCAUCAAAGACCUGAAGAUUCGCAAAACAAUAAGAUCAUAAUAUAUGAUACAUAACUUGUCAGCUUCAAGAAUCACGUUAUCCAAACAUCAUCAACUUCUUCUUGAUGAUAUUACUGGCCAAUUGAUAGUAGUGUCAUUCUUUGUCAAUUAAGAACCUCAACAAUGUCUAAGUUCCAGUACCUGUUACUGACACCUUCCCUGUUAAUACUCCUUCAUUCAUAAUUAAGAUUACAGGAAAUCUCUUACCACAUAAAUUGUGAUCAAGACUUUGAGAAAAAGGAAAAGUGAUAUAAGUUCACCGCUAUGAAUGCCUUAGUUCUAUGUAAAAGGAUGAGCUUUCAAAGAAACUCAAUGAUUGAAAAGCCCAGUACAUGUUUCACCUAGCAAAGUUAUAAAAUUUAACAUCCUUGAACACACACACCACCAACCCCCCCCCCCCCAAAAACCAAAAAAAAAAGUAAUAAUCAUCACACAGAGUACAGAAAACGGGGCAUGAUUUCAGAAAGCAAUCCUAAGCAUGUUGCUGACUGAAGUGCAAAAGCAGGAUGUUGAUCUGCUCUUUAACCACUUUAAACUCAUAUAAGGAUAAAAGGUUUCUUUAGAGAGAUUACUUACAGCAAAAACAGAGAAUGAUGUUGAAGGAUUCCCCAAAACUCUCUGGCAAUCUGUCUUUGUUAAAACAUAAUCCUCUCCUUUCCUGGACUGAGUCGCGCACCCAUAUCUCACUGCUGGCUUCUCCAUUUUUUCAUUUCUCAGUUCUCUGCUAAGCAGUGCAGCUAAUGGUACAAGAUCAUGCUGAUGCUUGUGUCUCUCUUCCCUUGACCCCAUUCUUGUCAUCACCUACUCCCCCUCCCAAUUCCCCACAAUUCAAAAUAACUUCUAAUCCUUCCUAUACCAAAACUCGCACUAAUCCUUGCAUCUCCGCAUCCGUCAUCUCUAUCACUCCUGAAUAAAUUCCCAUCCCAAUACCUACAACCAGUUCCUCUAGGUAGUUUACUUUUCUCCCUAGUUAUUAAAUCUCAGGAAAACCCGCGUCAAGAAAUUACAAGUUUUUUUGGCCAAACAAGCUUAAAGUCGCAGCUUUUAUCUGAAACCAAUGAAACAGAGGAACAAAAAAGUGCCAAAAUUAAGCUAAGAUUUGAGAAACCCUCAAAGCCAAGGUAUCAAAACAACGCCAUUAAAAAAAACAGCUUUGAAGUUGAAAAACCAUUAAUAAGAUGGGAUUUACCUUAAAACAGAAUGCUCGCUGGAAGUACUAUGUUUCUCCACGAAUAAAAGCCAAAAUGCAGAUCUGACAAUGACUGCAAAACUUCUCCUUUUUUUUGCUUGAAGAACAAUGCAGAGUAAUAAAGAAGGGAAAUCAACGCGGUUUGAUGACAAGGUAUGAACUGUAAUGCUCCAAUCAUCAAAAACACAUUACUUAAACCUUAAAAAAUUAAAAAAAAACCAACAUUGGAGACUAGAGGAAACACACCCCACAAUUUCAUAAACACGCUUAUAUAUGGUUGUGUGUGUGUGGUAUGUGGCUGAGUGAUUGAAUUCAGUGAAUUGUUAAACAGAGAAAAAAGUCAGCAAGGGAACAUUCAGCACUAGCCUCAAGAAAGGCAAGCAAAGAUCCUUACUUUUUUUUGCUUUUCAGUAAUUAAAAAUUAGUGACGAGUCCUGGGAGGCAAAGCAAUUAUAGGGGAAAUGAAUAUAUACUACCUUGAUGACUGAUGAGAGAAAGCUGACUUUAUGGAAGGGUAAGAACAUGGAUGUAAGUUUUGAUUAAAAAAAAAAGAAAAGAAAAAGAAAAUGGAUGUAAGAUUGGUUGGAUUAGCUGGCUUGAAAAUGAAAAGAAAAUAAAAGAAAAAGUAGGCAAGAUAACAAAAAGCGAGUAAUGACCGAACAAAAUUGAUUGGCACUUGAACGUUGGAUUAGCUGUCUAUUUUAUGUUUACUUCUCUUUCUUACAAUUAUUUUGAUGAUAAUAAGUGGUGAACUAUACUUUAUAUCCUUGAACUAUACAGCGUUACAUUUAAAAUUUUUUCAGUAUUUAUAAUUAUUUUUCUAUUCCAAGAAUUCAAUUGUAUCAAACAAACACAAUGAUGGUGUUACUGCCAAGAAGUAGAUAAAAUUGACCACAUGCUUAAUCAAUUCCUAAUUAACAAACGGAAUGUUUUCAUUAGUAGCUUAAAAUGUCAUAAAACAUAGGGGACAACUUGAUACAAUUAACAGUCCAUACUGGCAAUAUGAGAUAUAAUUAUAAUUGAGCAGAGAAAAAAUGAUGGAUUUGUUUGGACAGAGUAUUAUUUAAAAUAUUAUUUGAAAUAAUUACUGUAUUACUGUUUAUGAUGUGAUGCAUGUGAGAUAAAAAAAUAAUUAAAAUAUAAAAAAAUAAAUUAAAAAAUAUAUUUAUGAUGCAAGCGAUUGCCCUGCUUUAAACUAUGCUUUCUAAAAAUGUACUAGUAUUACAGUUCAAAACUUACUAAAAACUUUAGCAAAUACUAAAAACAUAGCCGGUAUGAGUAAGAUUGCUAAAUACGUGUGGAAGUGGAAGUCACCGACUCACCUACAGGGAAAAGUGACCGCUCUGCUGAGUCUGUGUCUAUGUUCUAUCCAAAUCAAUGGACCAUUUCUUUUUUUAAUGGAAAAGUUUAAGUGAUUAAAAUGUAAAAACUAAGCAAAGAAAGAAAUUGAGAGGAGGGAUGGGACCUUUUAGGAGAUAAAACAAAAAAAAAAAAGGCUGACACGUGCGGAAAGAUCAUCUGCACUUUGCAUGUGUUUCUGUGAAAAGCCUAAUUAUAGGCUUACCAGAAAACGCAGUUACCACGUUUGGAUUUCACUGUCCUGCUUGCGAAAAAACAGCUGCAAGGAAUGGUGAGCUGCAUAUUUGGUGGAAAUUAUUUUCUUUUUUUUUUUUUUUUAAAAAAGGUGUCCCAAAAGUGGUGGCGGUGCCGCUGCAGCUUGUGGCGGUGAUCGGUGGUCCCAAAAGUGGUAGUGGUGGAGGUGGUGGCAGUCCUUUUGUAGUCUCUCUAAAAUUUUAUUUUAUUUUAAUUCUUUUUUUGGUUUACUGCUGGAAACAAGUAAACCCAAGUAAUCUUCACUUUCAGUGAGCAACAUCUCCUUCCGAAUUGAUUUUGCAAUGAUAAUAACAGAAUUUGGAAUUUCAUCUCAAAAUUAAUUAGCAAUAAACGGAGUAUUAAUGUGAAAAAAAUCUUGAAAAAAAAUUCUUGAAAAUUGGAUGUGAGACAUACCACAUAGUAUUAAUUCGAUGCGAGACAUAAUGUAAAAAAAUUCUUGAAAAUUGGAUGUGAGACAUUUUAUUUUAUUUUUUUAACCAAUAAGAUAUUAAUACUGUCUUAGCUAAAAUUCUUGUUCCUUUAGUAGAUAGAGAUAGAGGUGUUCUUUAUUACAAUUUGCGCAUACAUUUUGAACGGGACUCUAGCCCGUUCGGAUUGCUAUUUUUAGGAAUUUUUAUAGAAAAAUAUAUUAUAACGAUUUAAUGUACGUGAGAUAAAAUGAUAAUUAAAAAAUAUAUUCAUAAAAAAUAUAAAAAAUUUUCUGCAAAAAAUCACAAUGCGGCACAAGAUAUUCGAGCCCUCGAGCGGCCAAAAGAAGGAAAAGCAUUGUGCAGACUUUAAUGGAGUUAGCUUCUAGUUCUAGUCCUCACCCAAAGGCCACAUGGAGACAGAAUUAAAUAGGGCCGUGAGAUGAGGCGGGAUGCAACGCAACAUCACUCAACGAUUUUAAUUGCUAUAAACCUGUAGGCAACUGUAUAUGUACGCAAGAAAUAAUUGCCAGUCGUUUUCAUGAGAGAUGUAUAUUCAAUUCUUGGCCUCCCAAAAUCACAAAUUUUGCUCCAGUUGAUAUCUUCUCUUCUGUUACUAAUAAAGGAGAAUGAAUGCAUAUUAAAGGAGGAUAGUCUCAACUCUCAACAAUUAUUGAAAAAAAUUAUCUCUUUGGCUGCAUUGAAGGAUUUGACGAAUGAUUUGAAAUCUUCACAAAUUUCUCGAGUUGUUUAGAUUACUCAAGAAAUAUUUAGAUUUACCUAAUUUUCAGAAUUAUUUAGAUAAUUGAAAAAUUGCAAACUCAAAUGCUUUUUUUUUAAAGUAAUCCAUGUAACUAGAGCGAUAUGAUCUGCGUGAAUUUCAAAUAUUUCAUCAAAUUUCUCAAUGCAAAUGAAGCCAAAAACAAUCAACAUCGCACUAGCUGUUGAGGGAUGGUACUUGUUAGAAUGUGCACUAAUUCGCCGCAUUAAUUCACGCCUUGUACAACAAAUUUAAAGCAUCAAAUUCCUGGUUUUGGUAACUCUUAAACAUCGAUUGAUGGUUACCGUUUCCUACCUUGCAAUUUUCUUUAGCUGUUUGAGACAGUUAUUUUCUUGUUGAAUGAAUUCGUUUGCUAUAGGUUUAGAUGUCUAGCUCCUUAAAUAUGCCCACUUUUCAAUGGCUGAAUUCAAUUCAAUAGAUACUAGUUGCAAAUAAAGCAGCCAAAAUUCUCCUUAAGCUGGCGCCUGGUUGUACUUAAAACACAAUUAGUAAGUUGCAGUUAAUAUACUUCUGUUCCCUGAUGAAAUAGGAAUUUUGCGAACAUCCAAUAGGGAAAUUACAGUUUUAAUUGUGUAGGAUAAUCUCCAAAUCCAUAUGAAAUCAUUUCGAAAAUACAAAAUGAGAGUGGGCAAAUAAAUUGCCUGCGUGGCAAGUUGAUGAUCAUGGAGUUUGCGGUCUUCUUGAAUGCAGGGACAUUGUCACUUUGAUCAAACUUGUACAAGAAUUUAGUCAUUUUUUUUAAGGACACAACCGAGAAAUGACGGGAAUUAAGUAUAAACCCCGACCCGUUUAUUAAAAAUUUUCAAAAAAGUACGUGGUAGAGAGGUUCUACCUCUUAACUUAGAGUAAUUGAAAAAUUAACAAGCUCCACAUUUAUGGUAUUAUUAUGAAGGGGGGGGUUGGGUUGGGUGGUACGAGGGGAAGGGAGUGUAAACAAGAAAUCUCGAAUUCGAGUUCUUCCGGUUGCACUAAAUAAAAAGAUGGAAGGUAAAUAUAUGGUAUUAUUAUGAAGGUGUUUGAAUUUUUUUUCUACUUAGAAAUCUUGUCGUGUUUGUAUUAUUUUGCCGAUUUUUAGUACUCCUUUCGUUUCUUGACGUUCUUUAAAAUUAUUGGGAUGAACUGAUAGUUAUUAUUUACGUACUUUUUGGGGUCUUCGGAAGAGUUCCAAACUGAACCGGAAAAGAAUCUGACGAGUUCAAGAUGAAGAUAUGGAGAAUUCUUUCUUAUGUUCAAUCUUCAACUAUUUGGUCCUCAGUCCAUGUCAAUGAACUUUUUUUCUGUUAUUAGUCAAGCCAGCAAUUCAGUAGUUGCUAAUAAGGCAUAUGGUAUUUUUUUCAUGGAGUAGACUGUAAACUUUUCCAAAGUCACUUCCUAUUAGUCAAGUCAGCAAUUCAAAGUUAAUAAGGCAACGUGGUAUUUUGCUUUCCCCAAAAAAAAAAAAGGGCAUAUGGUAUAUGCAUGGAGUAGAAAAAUAGGGAACUAGAUAAAUUAAAUUGAUUCACAAAAAUAUUUUAUUUCCUUAAACAUGUUUUCCACAGAUGCUAAACAGCAAAAGGUUAAUGAAUUUACUGAAAUAAUUCUUUGAUUUACUUUGUAUUUAGUGUCUUUUUUGUAAAGCAUAGCCAGCUUUCGAGUGCCAUCCCUAUCCUUUUUUGAAUUAAUAGACUAGUAUUGAAACUAAUUAUUUAUAUAAACUUCACUACUUAGCAUAGCCUUUUUUUUCAGUGUUGUUCCAAAUUUUCCUACUUCCCUCCCAAAAAAAAUUUGAUAGUCUAUUAUUUGUAAAAAAAAAAAUAUUUUUAUCUUAUAUAUAUUAUAUCACAAAAAGCACUGUAAUAUUAUUCUAGAAAAAAUUCGAAUAAUUCCCCCACGUACAUCCAAAAACAAAAUACACCAACUGUCAUAGGCUAACGGAAGUUUCUUGCAAAAAUGAUAUAGAAUGGAUAAAAAUUUUCGAUAAGCAUAAUCUUGAUAAAAUUAGUAAAUGAACCAAAAGGGCAAAAAAAAAAAAAAAAAUCCUGCUUUAUCUAAUUUUUCAAGAAAAUUCUCUCCCUUUUUAUUUCUGUCCUUUAUCGAAAGGCGUGCCCGACUCGACACGGUCAGCCUAACUUUGUGUAGGGCUGCUCCAAAAGCACAAUUCUUCUUCAUUCUUUCAUUCUUUUCUUCGUUCUACCUUUUUAUCCCGAGUGUCAAACACGUCCUAAGGACUUCAGAUCAACGCAACAGCCCCCUUUCCCAAUUUAAAAAAUAAAAAAUAUAUAUAUGAUUAAAAAUAGCAGUAUAUGAGUAUAAAUAGAUAUACUCUGUAGUAGUAUCAAUAAUUUUGCCUGUAACUUAUGUAAUUCUAUAAAAAUUGGGAUCAAAUUAGAAAGUUUAGAUUUUUAAAAAGGCAUCGAUCAGGAUGUCCAGCGCCGCCGGCGGCGGCGGCUACUGUCGGAGCUAUAGAGAGAUCACAUGGGACGCCGGCGCCGGUGCCGCUGCAGGUAACCACUCAGCUCAAUUUUGCCUCGCCUUUAUUUCACAUUCCUAAUUUUUACUAUUUUGUUUGGUUUGAGCUGAAAUGUAGUUGAAUUGGGAUUCUUUUCCCUGUGUAAAUUAUUUAAUUUGAUCAGAAAAAUUGUUCUGUUAUUGUGUUAUAGGUGCAAUAGCUGCCACAUUUGUAUGUCCAUUGGAUGUAAUUAAAACAAGAUUGCAAGUUUAUGGAUUGCCUGAAAUGGCUCGUUCUGGUCAUAGAGGUGUGUAUUGUACUUUUGAUUAUUGAAUGAUUUAAACAUUUCCGUUUCUUAUUUUGUUAUUUUUUCGGGUGAUCUAUCAUGCUUAUCUCUAUGCAAAGUUAAACAAGCAAUGUCUUGAAAAUGGGAAUUUUUGGCCAGAACAAAUAGGCUUGUGGACAUGGAUCAUCGCUGGAUUUCGUUGCAAUGUUAAUCUGCAUAUAUUUUAAAUGUGGAUUCUUUGUUACAUUUUUCUGUAUUUGAGCUCAUUGGGUGCCUACUAAACUUGUUAUUUGCAACCAAGCGUGCGAAUGUGGCACUAAAGCACAUCUUUUAAAGUAAAUAUUAGUUAAGAUGGUUUUAUCAUAUAUUCCGCCUACAAGCUGCUCAUGUUCUGCGUUGAGUGAUUCUUGGUGGACUAAAGUCCUUUUUUGGCCUAUAAAACGCUGAAAAAAGCAUUUGAUUACUGAACUACUAAAAACAAUUGGGAAAUAUUCUGGAUCUGGUACAAUUCCAGUGUUCCUAUGAUUAUUGUGAUCAGAAGAAAGCAAGAACUUUAAGUAAGUGUAGUAGCUAUAUUAGUAGCAUUUCUAAGGUUAGACAACUUGUGCAUGAUUCUUAUUCGCAGCGUAUGAGCUGUUUAGAUGAGUGUGACUAGUGAUGUCAGUCUAGCAUAAUUAGCUCGACUUGCACAAUAUAAAUCUCGUAGCCAUAAUUGGUUUCAGCGAACUAUCUGCAUACAGGUUCCCAAGAUUAGUAAUCUUAAAUGCCUCCUAUUAGUAAUCUUAAGUGCCUCUAAUAGGAGUAGCACCUCCAAUUUAGAUGAUUUCUGUAUAAUUUCUUUUCCUUCUUAUUCUUUUUCUUCAUUUUUGGGCAAAAUAAAUAUUUUGCUAUGCAAUUUAUGCUUUUUAUCUUUUGGCAACUUUCAGGCAGUGUCAUUAUUACAAGCCUACAAAAUAUAGUACGAAAUGAAGGUUUCCGGGGAUUGUAUCGGGGCCUUUCACCCACAUUAGCCGCAUUACUUCCAAAUUGGGCAGUGAGUAUCAUUUUAUUGAGUAUUUUCAAUUAUAACAUCUGAAACUUUUAUGCAAUAUGGAAUAUGAGAAUAUAGUCAGAUUGGUCUGUCAUUUCCCUUGUGGGUUGCAUAUAUUGGUUGCUCUAAAUAUUUGAGUCUUGGGAUAUUGGUCAGAUACACUCUAUGAAACUUCUAUAUGUGAUAGAAUCAGCCAAAAUAUGGUUUUGUUGGACUGUGUGGCUAUUUGCUGCUAACACCCCCGCCACUACCCCUACCCCCCUGCGGGAGGGCGAGAAAAAAAAAUCCUUUUCUUCUUUUCGUGCCCCCAGCAAAAUUUAUGCUUCUACGUCUAUAUAUCCAACUUUUGUUCCUUUCUUAGUAGGUAAGAUUACUUAAUUUCAGACCCAUGUGACUAUUAUCUGAUAAAGACAAAACACUAUAGAUUGUAACCAGAAUAUAUGCUCACACCCUAAUUCUUAAACACAAUUUUCUGAAUGCUUUAGGCAUAAUUAUAGGCUAAAGUAGCAUCUAUCCUUUCUGCAUCAUAGUUUUUCCACCUAAUAGCAAGUGGGAAGUAAUUUCUUUUCUUAUCAAAAGUAUGCAGGUAUCUUCUGCUCAUUUUAAUUGGCAUUAGAACAUAUUGCUGUCCUUUUCCUUCAUAUGUCCUCUAAUGACACAAGCUCAUGUGAAUGUGCAGGUAUACUUCUCUGUUUACGGACAUCUCAAAAGCCUGUUGCAUUCACAUGGUUAGUUCUUCUAUGUUACCGCUUUGCUCUCUCAUGCUUGGAGUUUUGUAUAGAUGUUUAUAACUUUAUAGAUUUUUGCCUGCCUUGAUGCAUAGUGGUUAUCAGACCAUUAAAUCUUUGCUACUCACUAGGAAUUACAUUCUUACAAUGUCCUAUGGUGGACAUGCAGUGGAUAGCAGUGGUCAGUCAACAAUUGCUGCAAAUGUGAUUGCUGCUUCUGGUGCUGGGGCUGCAACAGCUGUUGCAGCAAAUCCCUUGUGGGUUGUUAAGACCCGACUCCAGGUAUGUUGAUGUUGUUUAUGCUCAGUCAUAAUGUAGAAAUUCAACUUUGCUGGUUAGAUUCUUUUGAAAGAUUCUCUAUUCAUAUAUCAAACCGAGGCAUUUCUUUUUGAGCAAUUUGAUGUAGCAUGAAAGCUACAUUCCUGUCCUACUUCAAGGUAUCUAGCCAAUAUUUAAGAUGCAUAAAUUUGUUUAGCUAUUCCUCUUGAUAAGUGUAUUUGUUAAGAGAGCUGAUGGAUUACAAAAGGUCAGCAUGGAACAAAUUCUGCAAUUUAUUUCCGUUUGCAGUGUAGUAUUUUUGAAAGUGCAAACAAAAGAGUGUGUACGCAUUGUGAAAUCCAAUUAGCUGAGCCUUCUGUGAUCCCUAAAAGAGUGUAAUUCUCAUGAAGAUGAUUGGAGCAUUUCAUUCACUUACCAGAUUUAAGUCGGGCCCGCAACUUUGUUAUGUCAAGUUACCUACGGGAUGUUUAACUGGUCGUGGCCUGGACAACUUGUUACUUGCACAAUGUUUAAAUGUAAUGCUUGUUUCCCUGUAUUCUGAAUACAUACAUAUUCAAGUUCAAGAUUUCUUCAUGCUGGCCAUCAUUAUGACAAAGGGACAGUUUAUUCAAGCCUGAAAUUAUUAUCGAACCUAUAGGUCAUGGCCAUGUGUCUAACAGUUAGUAGCCUUUUAUCUGUUCACUGAGGGAUAUUUUCGUUAUUAUUUUGGCAUUACCUGAGAUACCUUUAUUCUUAUUGAACAGUUUUCCUUAGUCUAGGUUUCUUUUCUGUACAUUUCUAAUCUUGAAACCUUUUCUUUUCUUUUUGUAGACACAGAGAAUGAGGCAGGGUGUGGUUCCUUACCAUGGCAUAUUAUCUGCUUUGAGACGAAUAGCACAUGAAGAAGGAAUUCGAGGAUGGUACAGGUCAGUGCAACUUGAUCUACUCAAAUCCAAAUGAACAAAUCUUGCUCCAUUAAUUCCACCAAGUUCUUUACUUAGUGCAAAGAACUUCUGAGACUCCAUUGGACUGUUUAAUCAUUAUCCUACGUGCUCGAGUGAAUUAUGCAUUAGACAAAUUGUCUUUUGACAAUUAUUGGAUGCAUAGCAUAUAUCUCCACUCAAGAAUCAUUCUGUUUUCCAAUUCCUUUUUCUCUGGUGGAUACAGUGGCCUUCUUCCAUCUUUAGCUGGGAUAAGUCACGUGGCAAUCCAAUUUCCGGCAUAUGAACAUUUGAAGGCCUACUUGGCAAAAAGGAGUGAGAUCUUUUAACUCUUUUAAAUGAUUUUUUGGAUUAAGAAUUUGUUUCUCACGUAAUGUCUAAUUCUCUGUGGUCAUAUUGGUUUUGGCUUUUCAGAUAGCAAAAAAAUCAAUGAGCUGAGACCUGGGGAGGUUGCAAUUGCCUCUUCAAUGUCUAAAGUUGUUGCCUCUUUAAUGACUUACCCACAUGAGGUAGGACUUGGUGUUUUUGUAAAUACAUCACAAAUCACUUUGCAGCAAAAAUGCCUUUUUCUCACUUGGCUACAAUCUCAUUGUUGAUACCCAUCAGAAUGUCUGAUUGUUGUGUACACCAGGUUGUGCGUUCCAGGCUGCAAGAGCAAGGCCGACUAAGGAACCCUGAGAUCCAUUAUGCAGGUGUUAUAGAUUGCAUUAAGAAGAUUUUCCUUAGAGAGGGUCUUCCUGGGUUUUACCGUGGCUGUGCAACUAAUCUUUUGAGAACAACUCCAUCUGCGGUUAUUACUUUUACAUCUUAUGAAAUGAUACAUAGAUUUUUGCAGAGUGCUAUUCCUCCAGCAGAGAGGCGUUCAAAAGCACAACCUAAACCUGAUAGCAAUAUUGAUUCCCAGAAUAGUACUGCAGGAAAUGAAGCUAAGAGCAGUGUUUCAGAUCAAUCUCAAAAUACAUCUAACCAAAGAACUUUUAUUCCUUUGGCAACUCCUGACAAGCUAACAACUAGACAGUGAUUAUAACCUCUUUAAAACCGAGGUUCCACAAAAUUAAGUGGGUUUUUGUUGUUAUUUAUAGGGAGAUCACUACGAGAAGUGAUCUCGUUUUUGUACUUCUCAGCUAGUUACCGCAAGAGCUUGUUUGUUGUAUUUGUUUGGUGGCUUCGUCUUCUUUCGUGUAAAUUUUCCUUUUUGUUGGAGGAUUCCAAGUUCCAAUACGAAAAAAAAUGGAUUUAUUUUUUCUUGUUCCUGCGGUAGAUUCAUUUUACUAUAAGCUUGGACAAUGUUAUUCAUGAUGUUGAUGUUUGUUUCUGUGCCAAUGCCCCCUCCAUCUUAAACCUUUUGCCUACUCCUCGUCCCCAAAAACAUAGACAGGAAGAGAUAUGCAAGAGUAUUGAAGCUUCGUUUCCUGGUGGUACGAUGGAAAAACUAGACCUACCCAAACUGCCUCCAAGGCAAAGGAAAGAAGAUUUUAACUAAUUUGCAGUUGCAGAAGAUUCAAGAGUCUUGCACUCUGUAACAUCUGUUUCUUUUAAUUCUGCAACAUGUCUCUGCCAUUCUAUCUCUUUCAAUGUCUCCAAUGGUUCACGCAUUUUACGCCUGACCUCCGUUUUCUACUCAAGCUACAACUGCUGGUUGUGUCCAUUGCCAGCUUGAACCCCAGCUUUAGAGUUUUCAGUACACCAUUGCAUUUUCGGAUUCAGGAAUUUCAAUGUGUCGUUGGGAUUUGUAUUAAUCAUGGCCACUGAUUUUUCCUAUAGUAAAUGGGUUGUGGCUAGGUGCCUCUCUAUACCCGAAAGCUUAAAAAACCACAAUGAUAUUAUCUCCAUUGAAUUUAGAGGAAUUUUAGCCGCUAUUGCAUCUCUCAACAGGCAGCCGCGAACUUGCCAUUAGGCUUGACUUGAGCAGCUAAAAGAGUUUUGUUCGUCUUUCAUAGGAUGAACAUGUUACAGCGCCUUGGCUGUUGCGCAUGUUUGCCUUGUGAUUAGUAGUAUUCCUAGGAUAAGUAAGAGCUAUGAAAUUGGAUUGAAAAAAAAAAAAAAAAGCUAUGAAAUUGAGAAACUGUAUAUCAUCCUCAAUAUUCGUUCUCACUCUAGUAAAAGCUUGAAGCAAAGACUGCCUAAAUCCCACAUGGGGCUACCAAGACCUAAGCAUUGUUAUGGCGCAAUUUGCAUAGAAAGCUUGAUUUCUCCCUUCUCAAAUUCCCCAAGAGAUCAUUUAUUUCAGAAAAUUCCAUGAGAUGAAAUCAAAGUUCAAAAGACAGCUGCAUUUCUUUAUGUACAUUGGUAUGCACUUAUAGCUCUUUCACUUUCUCAUACAUGUUUGGAAAAGAAGGGACGGCGGAUCAAAUACAAAAUGCCGAGAGAGAGAGAGAGAGUGUGUGUGUGUGUUAUGAUUCGCUCAUUUGCAGCACAGAAAAUGGGUGUAUUGAUGUGUACUUAAGUUCUAGGAAAAGUGAGCAAGGAUCUCAUCUACUAGCACUAGUAGUAGAGGAGCUACUAGCCCAUACAUCAGCCACGGAAUUCGGCGAAGAUGGACAUUUUACAUUCUUCAACAAUACAAUGUCUUCUGAUUCUGGCGAAGCGACUGUUGCUUUUCUAGACUCAACAGCCUUUUCAUCAGUCUCAUCUGUCUUAUCAAUUGAAGUAUCUUUGCAAUUCUUUAUCUCCUUCAAGGUCUCCACGACCUCCUCCAUUUUCGGCCUCAUGUCCUUCUCAAGCUGCAAACACCUGAAAGCUAACUCUGCUACUGAAGUUGUCAUCCUCCAAACCUCGGUAUCUGAUUUGUAUUCAAGAGAUGGAUCAAUCAACUCAUCAAACGCACAUUUCUGAAUCCUGUUUAUUGCCAAGUUAGCUAGAUUGAUCUCAUGCCUGUGCCUGCUUAUGUCGACUGCUGGCAUUGAUGAUAUGAGCUCAAUGAGGACGACACCAAAGCUAUAAACAUCACUUUUAUCGGUAAGCUGGUAGCAUUGAUGAUACUCUGGAUCCACGUACCCAGGAGUCCCCUGUGGAGCAGUUGAGAUAUGACUGACAUCAUUUGGGAACAGCCUGGAAAGUCCAAAAUCUGCAACUUUGACACAGAAGUUAUGAUCAAGGAGUAUGUUAUUAGUCUUCACAUCACGGUGAAUAAUAUCUGAAUUGUGGAGAUAGGCCAACGCAUCAGCGGUUUCAAUGGCAACAUUCAUCCUGUGUUGCCAGGUGAGGUGCUUAUCCUUGGCUCUAUCACCAUGGAGAUGAUCGGCAACUGUGCCAUUAGGAAUGUACUCAUAAACAAGGAGGAGUUCACGACAACGUCUAGAAGUGCAGCCAUAUAGAGUAACAAGAUUCCGGUGCCUCAGACGGGUUAGAAUUUGAAUUUCAUUCAUGAAUUGCUCCAUUCGCUUGAAGUUGUGCUCAUAAAGACGCUUAACUGCUACUUCUCUUCCAUCGCGAAGCUUGCCUGGAUUGCAGAGAACGAAAAAUUGGCUACAAAAUUAGAUGCUAUAUAUCAUAUAGUUUGUUGACAAAUCAUCUAUAUGUUAGGUUGUUGCAACUCAGAAUUCAUAGUCUUGAGACAGAAUUUUUCACAGUUUUGAGUUCCUUACCAAAGUAUACAGUUCCAAAACCUCCGUCUCCAAGUUCUUUAGAGGCAUCAAAACUAUUAGUAGCUUCUUCAAGUUCAGAGUAGGAGAAGACGGGCACUCCAAAGUAAACGCUGCCACCUUCAAGGUCCAGAUUUGAGGAGGGUUCUGAAGUGUUUCUUGAGAGGAAGUACGAGGCGAAAUUCAUCUUGUUCUUGCGGUGCCGAAUAAAAAGGAGCGCCAGGACUAUAACUAUGGAUGCACUAAUAGGUAAAACUGAAAAACAUAAAAAAAAAGCACAUUUCAAGAUCAUGCUACCUCAAAUUUGGUUUUGACACUUAAUUUGCUGGGGAACAAAAUGACGAGAGAAAGAUCAAUUUCUUGGAUAGUUUUGAGGCGUAAUUGUACUUCUAAACCACAUACAGCAUUGUAGUAACAGUGAGUAUGUAUGUACCUAUGGGCAGAAUGACUUUCAAGUUCUUCUUUCCUGCAUUAAGAGUUAAUCAAAGCAAAGGGGGUCAGUUCGGGCACAAGAAUAGAUGAGGGACUAUAUACUGCAUCCAGAAUGAUAAACAAUCAAGAAAGAAGAUUGUAAAAUUGCCAACUAAGAAACAAAUGCAGGCAGAACAAAUCAGUAAAAUAGUAUUAAUAUGCCUUUUUUAGGAUAGACACAAUGCGGAACCCAGCUCUGACUCCAUUCAAUCCGACACUCGUGUCCUUCAAGUUGACAAUUAGAGCAAUCUUCAGAGAGAUGCCACUCAAGAUCGAACUCAGCAGUCAAUAACUGAAACAAGUCGGCGUUCUCUGAGUAAUCAUGCCGGGAGACUACGGGAAGAGUGACAUUUUUACAGAGUGAUUGAAUGUCUCCACCGAGGUUCACUGGUGGAGCGUGAUGUUCUGGAUUUUGAUAGUAAAUGAUGAAGCCAUUAUUAGGUUCACCACAAUUGUCAUAUUGUUUGUAUCCGCUGAAAGAAUCAGCCAGCUUCUGGCUUGUUUCGGGGCUUCUCUUGCAUCCGUAGAGCGCAAUAUUUGGCAGAAUCGAAUAUGAAAUGGAAGAAUAGUUCGGAAGAGGCAUAACACCAAAGUCGAAAUAUUCGCAAGAUUUUACAGCCAAAAGAUGCUCAAGCUUGUAGUCGUGAAGCCUGAUCACAGAGUUGCGCAUAUCUAAAGCUUCAACCCAUAGAUAUUCUGUAAAGUCAAAUACAAUUGUUGGAGAUUGCAUCGCCUCACAGUUGAGCUUGAGAAGGCCACAAUGAGAAGAAUGUGACGAAUCGAAGAAAGGGAAGCGUACCCCAGUAAGGUUUCCACAAUUAAAACUCUCUGGGCAAGUAGCAUCAGUGGAUUUGCCAUCUUCUUCAGCCGAGAGCGAGAGAGGCAGGACAUGAGAAAUCAAAAAGAAAGCCAAAAACAAUCCAAAACCCAUACUCAUUUUUCCAUCUUCUAUAACAGCAUAAGAGUGGUACGGAGUAUCGGAAGCACAAAAUGAUGGGGUGCUGCCUAUAUUCAACUCAACAGGAAAGGAGCUGUUUCAAUCGUUAAACAAGCAGAGAUUGGCAAAAUUGUGGCCAAAUUUGACUGAAGACCGAUCAAAAGCAAAAAGUUCCCGGGAGCAAUACAUGCAGCAUUCAGAACUUCAGCAUUCACCAACCGGAUGGAUUGGUUUUGGUAGGUGGCACUCAAGAACGUACUCACUUCGAGAUGUUAAAUAAACAGGUUUGUUUCCUUUUCAGGAUAACUCAAACCCUGGAUAACCACAACAAUCUGGAUAAUUUUCUUCUAUGAUCUGGACAGUGUAGCUUAUCUGUGGACCAUUUUCACAAUUUCUAGACUUGCAGGCUUUGUAUCUCCUGCCCACUGGUUCAACUGACUCUACCAAGAUAAUGUGCACCAUAAUAGACAUGACUCUAACACGAAAGACAGUGCUGAUUCUUAGCAAGCUGAGCUGAGCCAUUACUAGAGUGGAAAGGGUCUGUACCAUAUGAUAUCUAAGACGUAUAUAAUAACAUCUGAGCUAAAUUCAAAAUAAUUCAAGUCACCUUCAAUGGUUAGCAUUUUUGGUUUCUUACCAAAGUUUUUACUAACUUUGACAUGGUUUUGUUGUCUCAUUCUUGCGGCACUAUUAAACAAAUCUAGCAUUUUUAUGCCUCAAUUGUAUUCCUUUACCCUAUCAGGGAUCAGGGGUGGCUUAAACAUGUCACUUGAUUUUGAGUCCAUUACAAAAAAAAAAUCGUGCUCCAGACUUCAGACGUAGAAUUAUAUCUUACUGCAGAAGCAGAUAAGCCAUUUUCGCAGCCAAAAAAAGAAAAAGAAAAUAAAACCAGAAAAUUAGGACAAAAUUGAAUUUAAAAAGAAACAAAUAAUAACGCCAGUCCCCGGCAACGGCGCCAAAAAUUGACAGGUCGUCAGCCUGUGCAAUAAUAAUAAUAAAAAUAGAACCUAUCUACCACCAAAAGCAGUCAAUAAUUAAUCCUAGGUACUGGAGCAGGGACUCUAGGUGUGCAAUGGGUUACUUGAUUCACCCUAUUCCCGAAGAGUUUGCUUAACCCGAUAUACCAGAAUUCAUUAAUUGACAAAAAUUACUAAAUAGUAGACAGUGGCAAGUAGGGUCGUCUCCUCAGGGACUGGAGAUAUCUGUCUCUUUCAAAGUCCAAUUGAUAAAGGGGGAUUUCACCGGAAUGCAACUAAAAACAAUUAAACAAUUUAACUAAAAAUGAAUAAAUAACUAGCGCAAAUAUAGCAGGAAUUUAAUCAGGAAUAAAUAAAUUCUAGUCAAGGAUACAACUACUCAGGCACAGUCCAUUUAUCCGAUCAUUGAUGCAGGAGAGGUUCACUUAAUGUAUUAAUAGGCUAGUUAUAGUCUGACAACCAAUUUUUCCUUAAGUUAUAGGUGACCAAGGUACGACCAUUAAUCACCCCUAACCAGAAAAGUACUCCUAGGUACGACCGUAGGAAUUAAUUUUCUAAUUGCAUUAAUAACCAGAAAAACCUAGCCCUAAUCAAUAACACGCUACGAGGGUUAUUUAAAUUAGAUUGCACAUUCCUCUAAUGUGUAAACACACCAGUUGCCACUAAUAUUAAUCAAUCAAACAAUUACGGAUUUAAUUGACUAAAUUGGCACGAGAUUAAUAAAUCAAGUUGAACAUCGGGCCCUUGACAUCCAAUUAAUAAAAUAAUCCCAUGAAAAUUAAAUCAGACAACAUGCAAAUAUUAAUAGAUAAAGGAACACGUGAAAACUAAUUAGAUCUCACAGAUUUUCGGGACUGCGCCGUCGAGUUGACCCUUGACUAGAUGAAAGACUUAGCCACGCCGCAUAAUUAAAUCACCACACGAGUUAAUAAAUUGCGAAGGCAUCGUUUUGUACUAAGAAAUAAGGAAUGAAGGAGGUUUUCCCCGUUGGGGAAUAUUGUCAAGCACCUGGCGUGUGUCAGAGGCCAGUCCAAGGAAAAGAAAGAAAAAAACUAAACUAAAGACUAGGCUAAAAAGCUAAACUAAAAGCGGUCCCUCGCCUCUGUACGUUAGCUCCCUAUUUAAAGCCAAAGGAAAGAUAUCCAGUGGUCCCCACCAAUUGGACACAAGCUGCCGAAUUCAUCUCCUUGUUUUGAGCCUCUGCGCGGUCCCCACCAAUUGGCCACAAGCUGCCGAAUUACUUCUUGUUCCUAAGGCUUUGUACGUUGCCUUUACUAGCUCUUGUAGCUCUUGUGGUCCCAGCCAAUUGAGGCUUUCUGCUGGAGUCUCCCAAAUUUGCAUCCAAAAGUCCCUCUUUUUGUAGUUAUCUGCUCCACUCCUGGAAUUGGGUCCAGAUAUCAAAUAUGAGUAAAUAUCAGCAAUUAACACAAUAUUUGUCCGGGAUAGAAGGGGAAAUUAAUAAUAAAAUUACUAAUAAAUUAUACCCUAUCACCUUGCAAAUUGCAAGAAACACUGGUGAUGGAAUGCGAUUGGUGGUGGUGUUAUGGGCAAGUUGGGAAUCAACUAUCAAGCAUCAGAUGGAUGUCUCAUGCCUUAAUGGUUGUGUGGGAACAGCAUGUGCAAUUUCAUUUCAGUUUGGAAAAUCAUGUUCGUUGUAUUUAGUAAACAUAUUCGGUCUUUUUCUUUUUUUUUUUUUUGUAAAAGAAAAUUUGGUGAAUUUGGCUUCACUCAACGCUACGGAUCAAAGCAUGUCCCAAGUACUGUAUAUCACUCAUAGAAGUUAUUCAAACACACAACAUUUUAUAAAAAAAGUAAUUCGUUUUUACCAUUUGAAUCAACCGUCCAUUUUGUUUUCUUCCCAUCAUUACCAUGAAAUUGACCUUGAAGCUAAAGUGCUAAACAGAUAAACUCAUACUCCUGACAGAUCAAAGAAAAUUAAGAAUGAAUACUUUACAGCUGUAAAAAGUUAAUCAUUAUCCAUCUUCUUUUGAAGAAGUAAUUUUUCUUUUUUUACUUCAAAUAUGUCUUGCUGUCUAGGCAACAUAUCAAAGUGGUUAUGAAAUAGGGACAGGCAAUUUCUUCACAAGUUAGUUUCCUGAUUUUCUCCAACUUUAGUAUCCCUUCUUCUGUUUCACUGGCCCUCUUGGAAUCUUGCUAAGGAUUUUUGAAUCAAAUUUCUUGUACAAUUUCUUCAUUUCCCUCUUCCCUUGGCUUGCGAGAUGAUCCACUUCAUUUUGAUGACGCUCAUAUAAAGCUGGUAAAGUUGCCAAGCUGAGAAAGCCUUCAAAUCCCAGCAAAAAAUAACAAAAGAUGCCAUGCAUGAUUAGUAACUUACAUAUGAUGACACUAAUACAACACUAUUCCAACAACAUCAACAGAUUUUCAUCAACCUUACCAAUGUAUAAGAAGUUCAAAGAGCUGAAAGAGCUUCCGAUAAUUGACAACAUCCAGAGGAAAGUGAUUGCCUGAUUGGAAGUAUACAAAAGAAAAGGAAGGUCAGAAGACAAUGAUAACACAAUCAAUUGGUGGAAAGACAAAAUGAAGCCAGGCAGGAUCCAAAUGACAAUUGAGCGAAGAUGUAUACCAGAAAAAAUGUUUUUAUAUCUUUUCCAGAUGAAAUGUCAUACAAAUUUAACAAUAUCCAGUUGAUUUUGGCAAACAGCCAUCUGAAUGUAGCUUCAGGCACUGUUAUAGCAUGCAAAUCUGGGGGAUUCCUGUAGAGCAUUUGGAGACAGAAAGUUUGGCAAUACAGCUCAGUUAAAACUUAAAGAUGGCGAAACUAACUUGCAAUAUGAAUUGGUAACGCAGUAGAGGUAUUAGGAAAGAAAACAGUACCAAUCAACUAAUCCUGCCCCAGUGGACCAAAUAAACAUAAUUAACAUCAUAAUGAUAGAGAUGUGACAUAGAAGAGUGAUGAAAUUGUAUUCCACCACUUCAAAAAGGAGCCAUAUAAUUGUGACGCCUAUUAGGAUGGUAGCAGAUAACUUCUUGUUUUCCCACAGUAGUAUGUCUGCAACUGCAAUUGAAAAUGCAAAUGUCACAUAAACACAUCUUUCAUGUGCCAAAACAUGUACUUUUGACUCACUUCGUUCUUACAGCGUAUUCCAAUCUGGCAAUCAAGAAGAGGUUUAAUUUUAAGCCUCACACAAAGGACACUAAUCAUUCAAAAAAAAAAAAAAAUGGUAGCAUGUUCAAGUGUGACUGUUAUUCAAUGUAAACAACACUCGUCGGUGAAAGCAAUUUUUCACUUCUGGCGAAACAUGAUUAUGCUAAUUGCCCUUUUCAAUUUUGAGCUCCAGAUGAGAUAAUUUAAUUCAGUUCCUUAUAUUUCUGGAGAACAGGUGUAACGAACGGAUUUUGAAUUACAGGCAUGUUCACAUAUGUAAUUAUUGGGAAAUACUUUGUUAUUUUUAAAACAAUUUGAAAUCAUUUCUUUAUUUCACAUAUAUCACAUUAUUAAUGCGCUUUAGCUUACAAUGACAAUACAGAAUUCUUGAAUUUCUUUGUAAUAAGGCAAGAUGGAGGAGAUAUUAAAACUUAUGAAGCAAACCAGACAAGAUUACCAUAAUAUCCAUGGGAAUUAUACGCAGGAUAUUAUAUGAAAAAAAAAACACUCUUAGGUUAGGUUGUCUGACAUUUGAGAAAUAAUCUUAUAGAGAAAGAAAACUAUUUUGGAAAAGCAAUACAAAAAUUCGUUCGGUUUCGAAAUAAAAGAAUACAUGGCAUCAAAAGUUAAAAUGGUAAAGAAGAACAAGAUAAAAAGUUGAGAAUCACCUUUUCCCCCUCCAAGGAUCUGAUGCAAGGAUCUUUGACGACCAAACAAUCUUAUUGGAGAUAGCGGCUGUUCAUCUGAAUCUGAGGAUGAGCUCGACAUGGCUAAUCGAUCUUCAAACAAAGUAUGUCAAGAACAGUGCUAGCUAUUCAUAUACUUUAGACCUUAUACAGCAUUGUCAUAUAUAUGCUGCAGUAUGAUUCUAAUCUUAGCCACCAAGACACAUUUGGCAAGUAAGAAAGGUAUGGCUUUGGCAUGGCUGAGAAGAUAGCCUCCACUGCAGGGGCUCAGAACUUAUUAAAUUGAUAGCUCAUCUUCAAUCCAUUUUUAGUCUUCUUUUAAUAGCUGAGAACUUUCUUGACUCAUUUAAACAUCCAAGUAAAGAAACCGGUCAUGGAUUCUCUGUGUUUCAUUUGGUAGUUGGCAAUGAUCACAUGAACAGAAAAUAUUAUGGAUUCUCAAAGGAAAUAUGCGGGAGUUAAAAAUCUCUUGUACACUGCAAAUUUGAUGCUUAAGAUAUUUGUUAAGCUCUAUGCACUUAGGGAACUUCUUGACUAUUUCAUACCUAGCAGAAAUUAAUCUUAUUUUGUCACCAUAAUUGAGUACCGGAUCCAUACUAACAAGUGACCACGGUACACAAACAAAAAAUCCAGAGUUGUGGGAACAACAAAUACAAUUGAUAAACAAAUUAAUGACUAAGUAACUCAUUUCAGUAUUGUCUGAUCCAAUGAUUAAAAGUAGAUUGAGAUCAAAAAAUAAAAUAUCCUUCUCGAGCUUAACCUAAACUGCGGACACCCUUCCACCGGAUUUCAACUAGACCAAUUGAAGUAUCAUUGAACCGGGCUGCCUGCCGUGCUGUGGACGUUUACUUUGUUAGAGUCGCAUUUGUCGGAUUUUUUUCAAAUUUUUUUGGCAAUAUUUUGAGGAAUUAGUCCCUUUUUGGUUUUUCCUUUUUUUUUCUGAUAUGUAUAAUUUUACAAGUUUUUAGUCACCAAAAAAAAGGGUUAAAGAAAAUGAAAAGGCAAAUGGGAUGAUGCAUCAAAAAUAAAGAAAAUUUUGACCAUUUUGCAGAGAGAGCGAUAGGCAUGAGCAGCUAUCAUGAUUGCGCUAGUCAUGACUCACACCAUCAUCAUUGUAGCACUCAUGAUUUUAAGGGCACGCAAAUUCUUCCGUUCAAAUAAUCGCAGAUUGAGCUUGUGCACCUUUAGGCACAGCAGAGCCGGAGUGGGAUUUGGGGUGGCUUUUUCACAAGGAGGAAAUCUUUGACCAGAAUAGGAGCAAUUAGAGUUAUAUUGCUUGCUAUUAGCAUCCUAAUUAAUCACAAAAUCCAUUUCAUUGUGAUUAUAUUACUAAACAAUCAUUGAUACAUCACUUUUGCAUUGUUGAUAGAUGCUGGAAAUCAUUAUAGCCUAUAAACAGCCUCCUCCCUAGCCUUAUCAUUGCCAAAACCAAUAAAAGCAUGCAUCAUGAUCUUAAUGACAUGAUAGAACUGAUUUAGAAAAGGACUUGAGCAAGGACCACAGGGAUUAGAACAAAACAGCCCUCUUCAUCAUUUGCCAAGGCGAAUCUAUCAAUGUUGGCAGGAGAAUUCCACAGCAAAAGAGCCUCAUAUCCGAGGUACCUUUUCAUAUUUAUGCUCCAAUCUUCUGACAACUCCUGUAUUGCACAAAUGUAUACGCUGAAAGAGCUCAAGCAAUAGAAGUGGGCAUGCAAGUACCUUGACCUAAGCUGUGUCGGUAGAUCAAAAAAGAAAAUUAAUAAGAAAUGAAGAAGAAAAAGUGCCACAGGCAUUGCAGGAAACUGAGAGAUUGAGAGGUUAACUUCUCCAAGAUUUGAAAGGUUAAUAUGUAUAUUAUAAUUGCAAACUCAAAUUUUUUUUUUUCAUGAAUAGGAUUUGAUAAAUUUACACAGAAAAUUCACUACUACACCAUCCACUAAUAUGAACGUAUACAUUGAUUGGGCCUGCCUCCUACUGGUUGAAUUACAAAUAAUGCUAAUGUUUCGAACCUUGCAUUAGGGAUAGAAGACGAAAACAUCACAGGAUUGACUGAUGUUGCAAGUAAAUUUUGCACUAAGCUUCAGUUCUUUGUUCAACUCCUCUAGAUCCCAUUUAUCACAACCUUAAAGUACUGCUAAAGGAACUACUCCUGUAACAGAAGUGGUUUUUGUAGCCCAUCAUUUGCAAUACUUCAAUCAUGUUCAAGACUUCACGUUCAAGAAAUUGAAGGUCCUAUUAUAAUUGUAAUAAAUUUUUCAUGAACCAGGAGUUUAAAGGGCAACUGGACAAGGCAAAGACUACACAUGUGAUCUGAAAUGGCGGAGCGAGCAUGCCUCCCUUGCAUCACAUCACCGAAAAGGGCAAAACAACUUCAGUUCAGGGUUGGAAGGCCAUCAUUUCAUUCAUUUGCAGGCCAUAAUUUUGGGCCCUGUGGUCAAAAUAAAUACUAUUAUGGACAUAGAAUGCUACUGCAUUUUUUUUUCUUUUACCUAUAUUCUGUCUUUUUUCUGCUAAUUCCUCUUCGUGGUAGUACAAUCUCUAAUGAUGAUUUCUGUUCACGAACAGGGUUUGCCUAAUUAAAAGUGCAUUGCAUUUCCAAUUGUUUACAGUGUCAAAUUUGACAGUAUAGUUGAAGUCGGGAGACCCCAUUUGGAGCUUGGAGUCUUGGACAAAGAACUAGUCAUGUAGCUCCAUCAUGCAGGAUAAUAGAGGGGUAAUAUCAUGAUCUCAUGAAGGACAAUGUGAAAAUGCAGGACACUUUAAAGAGUCACCCUUUUUGACUUUGUGAAUUCUUUAUCCUAAAGCCUUAAAGAGAAAAGCAGAUAAUCUUUUGAUUUUCGAUGAUUUUACUGUCUUUUAAGUACCACUUUAUUUUGCUGUACAAAGAAAGAUAAAUGAGGAGGAUGGGGAUAAAAGAGGGAGCCAAAUAGUUAAAAGGACAAAUUAAGUGCAUUAGACUUUUACUUUUCCUAUACCGAUUUCACAUCGACCCUUUCUUUUUGUUUAUAAAGCUUUUCGUUUCUGAAUAAAAUACAAAGUUGUGAAAAUAUGUUGGUAAACUAAUUUCCAUCUUGUGGGUAUAGCUGUAGUGGGGGAAAACAAUAAUGGUUGAGAAUAUGAUUACCUGUUGAGUUGAGGCUGAGUACCUGGAAGAGAAUAAUGUGGAGAAAAUGCUAGCCUGCAUGCUUAGAAAGAUUACCAAUAAGAAGCAAUCAUUGACAGCACUUAAAAAAGUUGCAAUUGAUUUACCUAUAACUGGACUGGAUUUAAACUUUGGCUUGAACAAGUAAUAGAUUUUUUUUUGCUUGGAUCAAUGGAUGUAAUUCUCAAUGCUAUAUAUAUAUAUAUAUAUUCUUUUUUUUUCUUUUCUUUAGAAAGGGCUAGUUUUCUUCAAAUUAAUCAUACUCUGUGAAUGUCUAAUUCCGUUGAAACAAGUAAGAAUAUCUCUAUCCUUUUCUCAUUUAUUCAUAGCAUGAGGGUUUCUUUUUUGGUACAACAUGAUUUGUGUUUCAAGUUAAUCGUAAUACUUUAGAAAGUCAGUUUCUACAUUAAUUUAUCAAACAUGAUAAAGUAGUCGGAAACAAAAGUAAAACGACAUUAUGAAGCCAAUCAAAAUAAUCUACCGGGAAACAUUGUGGUAAAAUCAAAUUUCAUGUUUGCCAAAUUAGAUGUUUAUUGUGCAAUCUAGUAUUACUUUUUUUUUUCCUUAUUUUCCCCUCUCAAAGUUAACUAGAUUCUAAAUAGGGGUGGGCAAAAUUAUCCACUAACUCGAAAACCCGUCACAUCCGAUCCGAUCCGAUCCGAAAAUUAAGAUAUCCGAUUUUUAUUAUUUGAUCGGAUCAAAAGAGAGUUGGGUACCCGCUAAGAUGCGGAGCAGGUUAGGAUCACAGAAUUAAAAACCCGCGGGUACCCGAUCCGCCCCACAUAUAUAUUUUUUAUUUUUAUACACACACUAUAAAAUAAUAAAUUAGAACUAAAUAAGUAAUUUUAUUGAACAAAUUGCAUUACAAAUAUGAGAUACUAUAGUUUAUUUACAAGAUUUAUUUGUAGAGGUCAUGAUCUUUAUAGAAAAAAGUUUAAUUAAUGCGGAACAUAUAUAUUAAAAAUUGUGCUACUUAUUUCAAACUUUUAUUGAUUUUGAAUUCUUUAAUUUUUUUCCUUUAUCUUAUAUUCUCUUUACAUGCUUGUUUCUUGGUGGAAAACCUUUUUUGUAAAAUAUAAAAUUAAAUUGGUAUAAAUCAUUUUUUAAAAAAAAAUUAAAUGAUAAAUGGGACGGAACGGGUACCCGCUGACCCGACCCUGUCUCAGCGGGUACCCGAUUAUAGGAUACCCGCUAAUAUGCGGGGCGAGUAAGGGUCAGAAAAUGGCUGACCCGCAAGGUACGGGUCGAGUCAGCCAAAUGGUGAAUGGGGCAGGUACCCGACCCGCGCCCACCCCUAAUUCUAAAAUGAGCGUGCAAAAGGGAAAAUUGACUGCUCAUGAGACAAGAAAACAUAUUUUGUAUCCAUUUUCAAGCAAGAAAGCCCAAGGACAAGUCAAAAAGUAACAUUUAAUUAACUAGGGUCACUUUUUGGUAUUUAAAAUAACGAAAAACAAAAAACUAGGAGCUCCUUCUAUAUUUCUUUUGCGGGUCAAGGAAUUAAAAUUCAAAUUCCUCUGUUAAUGCUUUAGCUUUUUUAUUUUAUCAGUAGAAAUGAGUUAUGAGGUAUAACUAGGACUACAAACGAGCUAAAUCGAGUCGAAUAUUGAUCUAAUCGAAUCGAGUCUUGAAUUAGUUUUAUCAAACUCGAACUCGAGUUAGAACUCGACGAGCUGUCAAUCUAAAUCUCGAGCUCAUGUUCGACUCAAAUUCGAGUUGACUUCGAACUCGAAAAAAUAAAAAAUAAUUAUUUUAUUUUUUAAAAAAUAAAUAAAAUAAUAUAUUUUUCUUAAUAAAUAAUUAAAAUUAAGGAUAUAUUUGUAAUUUUACGCGAUCUGCUCGAUUUGUUUGCAGUGCUAGGUAUAAUAAUCUUCAUACUGCAGCCCGAAACCCCUUCCCCUCAAAAGUCCAAACCCAAAAAUAAAUAAAUUAAUAAUAAAAAAAGUAGUCUUGCACAUAUUCUGAAUAAUUAAUUGAGAAACAGAUAAUUUUAUGUCCUUUUUUUAAAAAAAAAAAUUGAUAUAUAUGAAAACACAUAACAUGAUGAAAACUUAAAAAAAAAAAAAAAAAAAAACUCGUAAACGAAACAAAGAAUAAGUGCUUACUUGCUAUUAGAAUUUUCUCAUUUUAAGGAUGACUAAUGAUUGUUGCAUGGUGAAUCAGUGAUGAACUUUUUUAAAAGCAUGAAAUGUUUAAGCCUAAAGUUUUAGCAUAGGUAUGGGGUGAAAACUUUAUCAAUAUCACCACCUCUUUUCAGCCAUCUCCUUCCUCUAUAAAUUGAGGCAACAGCCAAAUCCCACUUCAUCCAUCUCUCUCCAUCUCCCAAUCCCUCUCCCAAACCAGCAAUUCUUCAUCAUCAAAAACAUCAUGAAGUACCUAGCAUUCGUUGCAGUUCUUCUCUUGGUUCUUGGAGGGAUUGAGAAAGCAAAAGCAGUGACUUGCAACCCUUUGCAGCUGAGCCCAUGUGCAAACGCUAUAACAUCUUCAUCUUCACCUACUGCAAUCUGCUGUUCCAAGAUAAAAGAACAGAGGCCAUGCUUAUGCAGCUACAUGAGGAACCCUAAUCUCAAGAAGUUCAUCAGCUCUCCUAAUGCCAGGAAGGUGGCCAACACUUGUGGCACUCCAUUUCCUCAAUGCUAAGAGUCCAUUGAUUAUUUCUGUUUUUAGCAUCUGGUCUUAGUUAUAUAUAUAUAUAUAUAUAUUGAGUCUAUUAUGGUCAUGUUUUGCAUUAUCUAUUCCACCUAGCCUAUGUUCUAUCAUCUCUGUAUCACUGUGGAACUUGUGUGGCGAGUGAUCAGUCUUUGGUGUCAUAGUUAUUAUGGGAAUGGGCGCUGUCGCAGUACAACCAUGUUGUGCUUGCAUUGGACUAUGUUUUACUUUGCUUAUUGUAAUGAAGAUUGAAUAAUUAACGCUAACUCUAUCUACUAUUUUGUUUACGCUCUUUUUUUUUUUAUUAGUGAAGUGGUAAUUGAAGGAUAGAGGCGUCUAUAGAUUACAUUGAGAUACAUGAUCAACAUAUAUAAACAUACUGAUUUCAUGAUGGUACAUGGUCAACCAUAAUUGACAGAUUAAAAAUUUUGCAACAAAAGUUGCAUGCGAUGUAAAUUUGAGUGAGCAUUAUAAACUUGUACUGUCAUCUCGACUCACAAAAAAAUAUAAAGUCGCCCAAAUUUCUAGUUUAAAAUCAUGUUAUACCAUUUGGUACGUAAUAGUCUGCAUAUAAAAUGCUUUAAGUAACAAUAACAAAUCAAAUUACAUUCAUAAUAUAAGGAAAAUUUUAAUAAUGAUCCCUUAAUUAUUUGUUAACAUCACUUCUUAUAACUUUUUUUUACUCGUGCAAAAUGAUAAAAAAUGCUCUUACUCUUCAUUUGGGUUACAAUUUCAUUGAAAAGGGGUAGUUGUAAAUUCAACGCAAAAUGGGAAUUUGACUAACUCACAUGGUCAAAAAGGUCAAGAGAAGUGCCGUUGACAAAUAAGAGAAUGCAAUUAACAUCUCUCCAUAAUAUUAUACCAAGUCAACCUUAUUAAGACUAAAAAUUUUACAAAGUUUAAUUUCAUCAUCGAAUUAAAUAAAGCUCAUUCUUGUUUACGUAGGUUAAAUGGAUCGGGUCUAAGCCACUCCACACCAAUUAUCAUUUUUAAUAAAGAGCCAUCUAAUUUUCGAGAUGGUUUGUAGGUGUGUCUUUCUUUCUUGCUCAAAAUGGUCAUUUAAUUUUUGGGAUUGUUUGUAGGUGUGUUCUUUCUUGCUCAAAAUAGAAAACCAUUUUUAGUGUUUUGCUCGGAGCUUUCUUAAAUGAUUCUGCAAUUGAUUUCUAAGGACAAUGUCAGGGUAAGGUUCAGCUCACAAGAAGUCAUUUUAUCUACUAACAUCAAACAAAGGAAAAACCUCUGAAGUGCAAACCUUUUCCUAUAGAUAGAUACUUACUAUAGAUACAUAGCUCAUUUAGGGCCUUUCCAGACCUUCUAAUUUUCAUCAAAAACAUACCCCAGAAACUAUUGAUACAUAAGCACUACAACCAAACCAUGAUUAGACCUUCAAUUCCUGUUGAUUCUCCAUAUAAUGGGAUGUUGUCAUUCCAAGUCCUUCACUGUUUUGCUUUUCCCAUCCACCUGUAUCUGCCUUGGCAUGAGACCAGUAGUAGAAAAUGGAGCCUAUCAUGGAUAGCAAGGUCAAUGCAGCCCCAGCAGCAAAAACACCUUUGCGAAGGGUAGCACAGGACAAGUCAUUACCACCAAAUAUGCCUCGGUAUUUAGUAUGGUAAGCAUUCCUAGCUGAGCCAGCCAGUAAGCAUGCUUCGGCUCCCAAAAAGCUUACCCUGCCCAUUUCUUUCAGUUAUUAACGGGCAAGAAAAACAAUAAAACACGUUGACACGCUUAGCUAAUCCAAAGAAUUUAUGGAGUGAAGAAUGUAGUAGUCACUAUGAGGUGCCCUGAUGAAAUAAUAAGGAGAAAGAAAGAAAGAACUGAAUGAAACAAGAGUUUGAAAAAUCAUGUUAUUUCAAUCAGCAAUAUCACACGAUAACCAAGCAGCUGCAAAGAAAGAACACUAAGGCAAUGGAAAAGAACAGCAACUGCUCUCGCCAGCUCCAUUUUGAACAAAAUUAAGAGCUUCGAAGAUCAAAUUCUGUUUUGCAGGUGUGCCAAAAAAAAAAAAAAGGCUUAGCCGGGCCUGCAGAAAUUAUUGACUGAAUGAAGCUUUAUUGAAUCCAAAAACACAAAAAAAUGACGAAGAAGGGGAGAAACAAGAAUCUCUACCCUCCAGAACAAAGGAAAAGAAGAACCAAAGAACAAGAGACAACUAGGGGAAUGGCAUAACAAAGGAAGCAAUAUAUCAUGCUUAAUCAAAGCAUGAAAUUUCUGGAUCUGACCAGUCAAAUUAUGAAGCAACCUUAGGGAAUUAGUUUAUACAAGUUCAGCGGAACCAUCCAAAGUAUACUUCAAGAGAAUUGAGAUCAUAAAUGUCAUAAGAAUUUUUAUUUCUAGGAAAUAGGUGACAGAUAAGAAACGCCAAAAAAUAUCUUCACAAAAUGUGAAAACAGGGUUCAGAUUCCACCUUUAAACUUUUGGACAUGCAUAGAAACCAGGAAAAAGUGAAAUAGCUCAACAAGAAUCUCUAGAAUUUUAUCUUCUCACUCUGAUCUAACUUCUGAAUAUGCAUUAACUAUUUUUGCCCCGUAAUUUUAUCCACAUUACUUGGUUACCUAUUACAGAUAUCUUAUCUCAAACUAAACCAAGAAAGGUACACACGUUGGGAUUUCAACGGGAGCAAGAAUCAGGAAGCAAACAAUGCUGAUCAAAUUUUGUUGAAAGACAUCCAGCUUCAUCCAAAUUCACAAAAUUUAUCUACUAGAAAGUAUAAGAAUGGAUGAAACCCUAUUCUCGAACUACCACCCUCAUUGACAGAAGAAAGGAGCAGAUGGGCAAAAUUACAACCACCUACGGGAAUGCAUGUCAUACAAAGCCUGAUUAUCAAACCAAACCAUCACAAGGAACGGCUGAAAUUCCACAUGCAUUUCAAACCAUACGUGACAUGUGCAAAAGUUGAAUAGAUGGAACCAUUAAUUUUCUGUAGCAAUGAAAAACAUGUCAUGACAUGGAACGCAUAACAGGACAGUUCCCAAACUUCUUCAGUUCCAAGUAAGGGCAUGUUUAUUUGAUGAAACCUUUGCUCAAAAUAAUCUUAUGGCCGAUUGUGGAAUGAGAAAACAAUACAUACCCUACCAGAAGAUUUGCAAUUUCUAUGCCAGUUGAUGCAUGAAUUCUACCAUAUAGGUAUUGUACACAUAUUCAAAACAUCACAUACAAAAUGCUCUAAGCAAAACUGCAUACAAUUAUCCGCUAGAAACAGAACCUAAAUGCUAAAUGAUGUCACAAGUUUAUCCCAACAGAGAAUUUGACCCCACCACAAUGACAAAUUAUCUCCUAGCCCAUCCUGCCUGAUUAAGAAUUUAAAAAACCAACAGCCAAACUCCAAUUAUUGCAAGUAAAAAUAUUUCGCAUGCAGCUGUGCAGAUCAUUACUGGAAUAGUUAGUGUUGAGAAUUAUUCUACCAACCAACUAUCACCAGCCAACAGGGAGGUGGGGCCCAACUCCAACUCAUAGACUCGCUGGAAUCAACAAUGCUCCACUCUCCCAGUGGCAAACGUAGUAAAUCCAAAGCAGAAGACAAGGACAUGAUAGUAAAUUGGAAAAAAAAAAUAAACCAGGGAUCAUUACCAAGAAAAGAUGAAGAAGAAAACAGCACAAGUAGUAGACCGUCCACCCAUCAUCCCUUUCCCAAAACACAAGCACUUAGUAACGCCGUUAAGCACCGUUUGACUAAUUAACAGCAACCCAAACGCCGAUAACCCGUAGACGGUCGAAGCAUCCGUACCGUACACGCAGUAGGUCGUUUCAUCGUACUUAUCCGGCAUAACAUUAGCCUUAUCGACCAUUAAAAGCCAGGAAAAAAAAAUUAGAACUUUAACUGAGUUUCCAUAAAACAAAGAGAACCCAGAUGCUAUUUUUGGAAAUGGGGUAAAGGGGUUACCGUGCUUCGACGCCGUUCAGCUCCGAUAGCGAGAACGAAGGCUAUGAGGUGAAGAGAUGUUAUAAUUACCAAAAUGGGGAUGGAAACUCCCAUUUUUUUCAGCUGUUAUCUCCUACUAAUUUCUCACGAACAAGAAGCAACGCACAGUCCUCAAUAACUGGAACUUCUUUUCUUUUUUUGCUUUCUUUAGAAGUGUAAUGUAUGUAUAAUUGCACAAACUUCUUUUUUUUUUUGGGGUGAAGGGAAUUGUUUGUGGGGCUACAGGUUUUGCGUUUUGGAAUACGGAAACUUUUCUUUUUAGGUGGGAUGCCUUUUUUUUCCCUUGUUUCGGCUCGGUGGGUGGGCGUUAUAGUAUAUGGUUUGCUUUUUGGAUGGAUUCGUGAAAAAAAUAACCAAUGCAGCCUGCUGGCUUGAGGAAACUGAAAUAAUAAGGCUUGAUGACGAUAAUUUAUCAGGAAUUUAGGAGAGAGGAAAGGUGUCGGUGAGGGGAACUCAUGGGGCCCAGUUGUUUUUCAUUUUUUUUUUUUUGGUGAGGUUUUGCUGGUUUCUGGCAGUAUUAAGUAAAGUGUACUUUGUUUAAGUGGAAGGUGAAUGUAUGUGGAAAUGGUUUGGCAAUGCAUGAUUGGACCAUGACAUAGUUGAUCUGUACUCGAAGACGACGACAGCUGCAGCAGUACUGAUACUUUGACUUUAAUGACUUUGAUUGAAUUUAGUUUCUGAGAGCCACCUAUGGCAUUAACAUUUAUUGUGUUUAGUUUGGCUACCGCGGUACCCAUGCUAGCAUGCUACUGUCCAGUUGUUCCCUUGUUUUCUUCCCUUGUUUAGUCCAAGUAUUUUCGAUGUUGCUAUCGAUGCACACAAUUAUGUACAGUAAAAGAUGUAUUCGAGGUUCGAUUUAAAAUUAGAAAGAAAAAUUUGCUAAAUAGCUACUUAGUUUAGACGAUUGAAUGGAGCCAGUUUAACCUUGAAGCCUUGAUCUGUUCGUGGAGGAUAUCUUUCAAUACUAUUGUAAAUCUCAGGGAUAUGGGUAUCUUUGCUCUCUCGUAAUGAACUUCUUCUUGGAGAACAUAUUAAUUAAGAUGAAAGCACAAUUUGUUUGUUUUCCUUUUGUUUUUCAUAUCAUUGUUGGCUAAGCCACUAAAUGCCUAAUCUUCUACAUUCUUGCAACAGCACCACACUCUUAUUUUAUGUAAACGGACUUUUCAAUCUGUAAUGCUUUUUUAUCCGGGGAUUCACCCCGUGUAAAUAAACAUCAUUGGCUGCUUUUGAAGGAAAGGAACUCAAAAGCAUCAUCCCUAGCUCAAAGUACAAAAAAAAAAUUGAAAAGUAAGGACGAGAAAUAAAAGGUAAAACAAUAUGCAUGGCAAAUUAGAACCAAUCAUGCAAAUGAACCAUGAAAUGCAAAGGGAUCAUGCUAAGUAUUUAACUAGCCAUAGCCUGUAGAUGUAUUUCUACCUUCACAGAGUCAAUUAACAAGAAGUUCAUACAUGUUAUUAUCACAGACCAAAUCAUAUUUGAAAACUGAAAUUUGAUGAAAGCACAUUUCACCAUCUAAGCACUAAUAGAUCAGAUCCUUGAUGAUUGAUCAAGUUUUCUAAUGCAUCAUGCCCUUCUUCUCUCCGAAGUACUCCUCCCAUGCCAAAGCCUUUGGAUGCCUCAAGUGUGAUUUAUAUGAUAGUUAGAGAUGUUGAAUUCGGCCGGCAUAAACAAACUCUGACGCUCCCAUCUGGUCCGAUCGCUUCUGUACAAGUUGGGAUAAUCUGUGAUGCUCCAAAAACAUUUGGUACAUCUCAAUCUAACGUUAUACGACCAAAAGAAUCCAUUCACUCUGUCAUUGAUGUACAAAUAACACCAUCUCAUUGGGAAAGCGAUUUGUGUGAAAUUGUAUAUGAAUCUUUCUCCUUUCCUCAGUUCAUGCAAACCCGUAUCGUUUUUUGACAACUUGCACAUGUAAUACACCGUCUUGUCACCAUCAUUGGCUAUUGUAAUCUCUAUUGUUGGGAAAAAGAAAUCACGGAUUGAUUCAAAUAUGGUCUUUCUGCGCCCUCCUUCAUCGGGUUCUUGAUCGUCUGAGGCAUUGGCAUUGAAGGAGAGGAGGAGGAUGAUGGCAACAAUGGCAAAUGCUGAAUUAUUCGCCAUUGAAAAGCCAAUGGGAGGGAGAUGGUGCCCAGGAAGGCAGAUGGGAAUGUAAUUAGUGGCGAAUAAGAUUGUAGUUUGAUUUGCUUUGUGUGGCACAAAUUAUUUUGUGCUUGGAUUCUCCUUGACUUGCUCAUGCCUAAAGAUAGCAAAGUCAAGGAAACUUGAAAUACAUUGGACUUUGAUCUUAGUCCACUUUUUAUUCUACCACUACUAUAAUAGGGAGGGACUUGUUGGUCCCUCUUGACGUUCAAUUCUCCCUUUAUCUAAUAGAAAAGUCGAUUACAUAUUGAAAUGGUUUUCCAACCAACAAAAGGAAAUUAUUAUUAUGAUUUACAAUAAUAUAAGUAUAAUAAAAAAGGAGUUAACAGAAGUAAUUAAAAAUAUUAUGAAAGAGACAAAGGAGUUGGUUUAAUACCAAAAAGGGGUAAAGGAAAUAAAAAAGGUAAAUCUAGUUUAAGUUUUAUAUGCUUCUUGCUUUCCUUUCUUUUUUCUUUGUGUCUUCAUGAAAUGAAUAGACGUCAAGAAGCUUCCUGGUUCCCACGAAUGGAACAUACUUAUAUUCUUGAGUUUUUUUUUUCAAAAAGGAAUUUACUCUUAUCUUAGAAUGAGCAUAAAAAUGAUGCAAAGUGUUAAUAGGUUUGUAACUACAUCUAUGUAUAAUUGUUAUACAUAACAAAAAAAAACAUUAUUAACAUGCUUUUCUUUUUCAAAAUAAAAUUAAUCAGAAGUUGGAAAAUCUACUUCUUUAGUUUUUCAAUAAAAUUGGUACAAAAAUCACAAACAAACCCUUGUACAUAGAUAUAAAAAAAAAUCAAUUUCUAAAGGGCCGUUUAGCAACGUCUAGGUUUUGUGUGUCUCUUAUUUUGUUUGAAGAAUUACGCAAAAAUAAUAUAUAUAUAUAUGUAUGAAUAAAUCUUAUAUACUAUCACCGUUAGAUCCAUGACACAUGUACAAAAAUUGAAUUUAAAAUUUAAAAUUUGCAUAAUUAUCAUUCAUCCAACGCUGACAGUGUAUACACUGUUAAUGUCGGAAAGAAUAAUCCACAUGUGUGUGUAUUGUUUGCAUAUUUCAACAAACAGCAACAUUUCAAAUAUUAGCCUUAUCUUUAAAACACCAAAAAUGUUAUUUUUAACUAUUUUUAAAAAAUGUUAUUGUUUUUAAAAUCAAUGUUGUAAAUUGUUUCAUUUCCUACAUAUACUACUAUAAGAGUCGUUGUGGCUUCAACACCAAGGCCCAUCAUUCGUCUACCUAUUCGGCUAUUUCUGUGAUUUGGAGAUCAUUAAGGUGUAUGUUCUAAGCACUUUGCACACCUUUUGAUGCUUUGGUAAUGUGUUGAUUUCUGUUUUUGCCCUUAACUGUUAGUUGUUCGGAAAUCUUUCGCCCCAUUUAGUUGUUCAAUGAUUGCUUUAGUUUGUUUGUGAAUUGCAUUUGUGAAUCAGUUCGGUCCAUUUGUAAAACCUUGGGCCGUACUUAGCUGUUUGGUGAUUGCAUCAGUGUUGUUAAACUUGGAUGAGACCCUCCUAAUCGAAUGUAAAACGACUUUCUUUUCGAGUUGGUUAAUAGUACAAAAUUAAUUUGGUAAAAAAUCAAUCAAAAUCAUCAAAAUUCGACAAAACAAUGACCUAGUUCGAGUACUUGACUCAAUUUUCAAACUUUUCUUCCUUGUUUUCCCAAAAUAUAAUUUAAGUUACCUAAAUUAUAAAAUUUUCAUUUAUUAAUAGGAAUCAGAAAAUACCACUAGGUAUUUCAUUUUCCAAAAUGAUAUCUAAAUCAAGAAGUUUUAAUCCCUAUUUUGUAGUUUAAAGUCUGCAUGGUUGUCUACGUAUUCAUUUUUUUGCCAACCAAUGCAUUCCAUAUGCAGUGCUAAAAGUGGUUCUCAAAACUGUUUUUAUACAAGUAUCUUACAGUAUUUGCUUCAUGGAACUCAAAUUUCGGUCCAAACCGUGGUGCGAACUACAGUCUCCGGCAAAUGCCUAAAUUGCAACUUCUGGAACAUUUGGAAGGCAAGAACCUGGAAAAAUGUAAACUUCAGAAUACCUAAAUAUUCCUGAAUCCGCAAUAUAAUAAGUACAGCAUAAAAAAGAUACCUUUUCCUACCAGAAACCUGCCAGACCAACUCUUAACUAGUCUCAUAGCCAUAGCUACAGAUAAGAUGAAAUGGCAAGAAAAGUUUGUUAGAUAUAAUACUCAACAAAAGGAAGAUGGAUGGCAGAUCAUGUGUUGCAAUCACAUUAACAAAUGCUCAAAAUACUUGCUUUAAGGCAAAAAAAAAAAUCAUUUGUUGGAUUUAGACAGGUGAGGUUGAAAGAGGGUCACGACAAUGAAACAAGACAGUUCAAUGAUCAGUGAGAGAUUCAAAUUAUAAGAAUCCUGGAAAAUAAUAGAUUACCGGUUAAAUGCAGCACUUGCUUAAACAGGUAACAGGUGUCUUUUCCAACGCUUGGCAUUGUAAAUUUUCAAACUGCAUGAAUCUGGGUUCUUGAUUCUUCAUCUUAAUUAACUGUCCCACAGAACUCCUGAUUCUCAAUCACAUAAAGGCUCCUUAACCAAAAGGUUCAUUUUUUCCAGAAGAAAUUCAAGUACAUCUUCUCUCCCUUCCUUCAGAAGCAGAUUUCUUAACUUGCCAAAAGUCACUCUUCCUGGACGAAUUCCAUUCUCUAUCAUCUCUUCCAUUAAGACACAAGCCCUAGAGGCAUCCGCCUUGUCACAUAAUCCAUUGAUAAGGGCUGAUAUGGUAUGCAGGCUAGGAACGAACCUUUUCUUUUUCAUGUACUUCCAUACCUUGAAAGCCCUCUCAAGCUCAUCCCUAUCGCAGAACAUCUUUAUCAUCACUGUAUAAGUGUCUGCAUCUGGCUCACAAAUUUUAAUCAUCCGACGAAAAACUUUAAGAGUUUCAUCAGUCUCCCCACAGCCAAUCAAACUGUUUAAGAUGAUGUUGCAAGUUCUUGAAUUGGGAGUCACCUUUUUGCCCUCCAUCUCAUCCAAAACCCUGUAAGCAUUCUGAAACUUGUUAACUUUGCAGAAAGCACUAAUUAAGGCGUUAUAGACAGCUACAUCAGCCUCCACUCCACUACUUUCCAUUUCAAGGAAGGUAUCUACAGCAUCUUCAAUCCGAUUGUCUAUACCAUAUGUAUGAACCAAAACACUGUAUAUAAAUGAUGUUGGCCUGCAACCACUGAAUUCCAUCUCCUUAACUAUUUCAACCGCUUCAUCAACCCUACCUGCUUUGCACAGGAUAUCAACCAUAAUCCCAUAAGUCACAAUGUCAGGAUCACAGCCUGCCUCCACCAUUUCUCUGUAAAUUUCCCUUGCCUUGGGCAGAUUGGGAGCUCUUCCCCAUCCCUCAAGCAAUAUGCUAUAAGUCUUUGAGUCAGGAACAAAUUGACCUUUCAUGUUAUCAAAAAUUUCCUGAGCCUUUCUCACAUUUUUUGAUUUGCAUAAAGCGCUCAAUAAGCCAUUGAAUGCUGCUAGAUUUGGAGGCACAUCAUAUUUUUUCAUGAUAUUAAAGGUGUACACCGCCUCCUCCACCUUCUUUGCCCUAGCAUACUUCCUCAUAAUGAUACAAAAUGUCUCAAUAUUAAGCAUUUUCUUACUUCUCAUUGCAUUCACAAGAUCCCACAUCAACUGAUACUGCCUUAUCUUAGCUAAAGCCUCAAUCAUGGUGUGGUAUGCUUUAACACUAUGCUCAUAAUUACGCUGCUUGCCUGCCCAGUCAAAGAAACGGUAAGCCAGCACUCCAGCAUUUUCAAAUCUCUUGAGUACUUCCUCAGCAAUUUCAGGGGAAACCCUUAUCCCAUUCUGGUCAAGCUCAGUAUCAAGCCCAAGUUUCGGGCAAGACAUCAUAAUCUUACAUACCCUUUUUACCAUAUCUGAACUAUCCUGCAAGGAUUCUCUUGAACUGUACAUUCUACACAAGAUCACUCUUCGGAGACAUAAUUUACCAAGAAAUUGCCUUAGCCUCAUAUUCCACCAGAGCAACUUAAGGGUUCCAAAACGCCUAUCUGACUGAAAGAUAAAAAAACAAAAACAUCAGUUAGUCACACAGCUUAUGCUCAUAUGCAGCAAUUGCUUUAUUUUCUUUUUCUUUAUUAACAUUUACAAUCCUUUUUCUGUCUACUUAAGUGGGUCUGUGCAAUUUCAGGCCAUUAAACAUUCUAUGCUUGACCCAGCGGAAGGUGUCCUCAUUCCAAUCAAGUUGAGUCUUAAGGACACAAAAAAAUUGAAAAAUUUUGAUAAAAAACAAAAGAAAAAGCUUUGAGAAAUGGUUAACGACUGGUACAUCCCAAGAACAGCUAGUUUGCUGGACAAAAUAAUCAAAAUGGAAACUUUGAACAACAACGAAUACCCAGUAUGAGUUAAGCAUUUCAUCGAAUGAGUGGUGCAUAACUGACUUUGGGCAGUUCUUUUUCACUAGGCUUCUACCUGUUUACAAAGAUACAGGUAUCGCAACUCACAUAAACACAGAACUGGAUAUCAUAUUCCUGUAAUUUGAUAGUGCUUCAAUCAAUUGAAAACAAAACAUUGAAUACCGUUUUUAAAAUGAAAGCAAUUCUUAAGCAUAAAACAAUUCAUAUUGACAUAACUUUUUCUUGCAAGGUGCCGGGGUCACCAACCUAGGAGAGCCUUAGUUAAGUAACAAACUCGAAAGUACAACGUUUGCGUAACAAGAAUUACGCUCUUUUUUUUUUGUGCGAAUUGCACUCCUUUUUUCGAGUCAAUUUUGUGGAAGAAAUGAUACUCUCAGCAAAGAUUCAAGUCUGUAACAAACAAGGCCUAAUACCGGAUGGCGUUAUCAACCUUUUGCACUUUUCUUUCUUUCAUUUUUCUUUUUUACUCGCCUUUGUUUUGGACUAAUCUUCCCAACAAUAUAAACUUUUUGGGUUUGGCCAACAGAUACCAAUGCAGGGUUACAUUAAUUUUGAUUGUGUAUUAAGUUAGGUGUGUUUUAAGUGUGUUAAUAAUUGAUCAUCAGACAUUAAUACAUAUUGUAAACCUUUAUUCAAAUUCUAUUUUUGUCAUUUUUGUAAAGGAUAAUUUCACAAACAUCUCGGCUCCCUUCAAGUUUUAUAAAUUACAUUGACCUUCCUUGUCACAAUAAAAUGGCUAUAAAUUACAUUGACCUUUACUUAAUAAAUAAUUCACAGUAUAAUGAAAUGAGAUUAAAAAAAGAAAAAGAAACAUGACUUUUUGGCCUAUCCUGUUUACAAGUUGCAGCUAAUGACGAUUCUCUCUUAUUUACUGUCACUCCAUUCUCAUCCAUCAACCUUUUUCUCCUAUAACUCGCUCUCAAAUUACCACCAACCAUUGCCUAUAACUAAGCCAAUCACACCACAAGUAAUCCCUCAAACUCGACUAUAUAUUCUUAUUUCUCCUUUCUUCACUUUGGAAUUGCCAAAUUACAAGUUUAAUUGAGGGACUAGAUUUGAUCGUUGAAAUAAAAUCCGAUAUCAUGGUCAAAUUAAUAGGAGAUGACGAGGCACAAAAUAAUAAUAAAAUAAAUAAUACAAUCAUUGGCCAGAAGAGGAAGAGGGAUUGAAAUUGGUAAAUUUAUUUAUUUGUCUAUCAUCCAUUCAAAAAACUUUUUAAGAUGUUAAUAAGUACAUUUAUAUUUCUUUUUAUACUUGACAAUUGUUGGUUAUGGUUUCGUUAUGGAAAUAGAGUUUCUUCUUUGUAUUUAAAAUAUUAAUAUGUUUGGAGAUUUGAUGGUAGGCUAGAUUAUUUUGUUUUGAAAAGGUGUGAGUAUUGGGUUUGAAAUUAGGGUGUGAUUAAUUGUAAUAGAAUUUUGAUUUUUGGCAAAAUGAAUUUCUUGAAGAUGUCUAUAGUCAUAAUGAUGCCUUCCGCUUCUUAAACUUGAUUAAACCCAUCCAUGCCUAAAACUCAUGUAGCAGGAGUUGAGCCACUUAUAUGAAAUCAAACCAUGGCAUUCUAUGUUGAAGAUUAUGCAAACAUAGGAACAGCUGAUUGUGAGUUUGACCAUUCCAUAAAACCAUAUGGUAAGAAUAUUUCUAAAGGAUGGAACAAAUCUUUAGAAUUGAAUGCAUGUUUUGGGAAGCAAAUUUAUGACUAUGAUGAUGGAAUUGCUUGGGUUUAGAAUUUGGAAUUAGACUAUUUGUUAGGCUAGUUUGUUAGUAUAGUGUCUUCUCAUCAAGUCUAGACAAGCUGGCCUGCUCGUGAAUGCAGUCUACAAAUAUUAAAAAGAGGCAUAAACAUGAGUGAUUAUCAGUAUAGCAACCAAGGAAUGCACAUUCCAAGUCAAAGCUAUUACCUUGAGGCAUAAGCAACCAGUUUAGUGCUUGGUAGCAUAGUCAAAGAGAGCGUCCAUGUCAUCAAAAUAUUUGACUGUGAAGCGUAGAAAGGCAUAGAGGCAUAGCUCAAAUUUCCAUUUGUUUCGCAAGACAAGCAUCUAAUUCUCACGAAUCAGAUUGUUAAUACAAAUAUGAACGUCACCCUUCUUGAAAACAUUUAUCCUUGAUGUUUAUUUCCCAACUGCAAAUGCCAUGAUAUAAUUUAAUUGUCAUGUCAUCCUGGGAUUCAAUUGAAUCAAAAACAGUAGCUGAAAUGUCCUAUAAGAAAAAAAGAAAACAUGACCUAUGUCACUAAGAAAUAAAGCUUUUGCCACUAAGUUUCAGGACUGCAUGUUUAAAAAUACGCAUGGAUUAAGGGCCAUGGAAGACAGUAGACUGAAGGUGUAUGAAAAAGGAGUUCAUUAGGUGAGUUAAGGGUGAUUCGGGGUGUUCAGGUAGUUAAAAAAUUUUAGCCAUGGGAUUCAUGAUAACGGUGUUUAUCUCAAGCUUGACAAUGGUGGAAAGAGGAGGAGAUCAAGUAUAGGGCAUUCAACUCCUAAAAACACACUUCUAAUGAGAGAUGAAACAAAUAUGCUGCUCAUGAGUCCCUUGAAGGAUAGGAAGCCUCAUUCAACGAGGCUUCAUCAAUUGUAUACUGAGACAGGAAAAAUUAUUACUCAUGAUGGAAACAGAUUAAGAUUGCUCCCGAAGAGCUAUGGUGCUGAUAUUAGAAAAUCCCAUCAAAUAGCCCAAAGCACAAGAUAAGAACUUCAAAACUGGAAAAACAACUCAACCACUUGAGGCACAAGAGAAAAGCCAAAAGAAAUUCAAAACUGGAAAACAACUUAACCAAUGCAGGCAGGAAAACACCCCAAAAGAACCACCACACGAGACGAGAGAAAAACCAUUUGUAAAAGGCAAAAAAAAAAAAGGAAUCCUUGGCAAGAAGAAAAACAAAUCAUAAAAGAAGGAAAAAAGACAAGAACUUUUUACUGAGUAAAAAAGAAGAAUUUUAGGGGCAGUUGUAUAAUUCAGCAGAAACUGCAAAGCAAGGCUAGCUUGUCAAUCACAAAUUAAUCAGUGAAAUAGAUAAAAACAAAGAAAAGGAAAAAUAACAAUUUAUCAAGAAUUGUAGCUGAGCACCACAGGCAUCAAAAUGAAACUCGUCACACAAGUCUUUACUCAAAGGAGCAUCCUGCAGCUAAACAAAUAACAGAAAUGACAUAAGAAGAUUCAGGAGAAGAAUCACCAGACAAACCAAAAAUCAGGACAUUAGAAAAACAAUUGAAUCACUGCAACUUAUUAGUCUAAUUAAGUGUUGUCUUGAGAUCUCAAUGUUUAUAUGUCCGGAAUGAGUAGAAGUAUAAAAUAUCCAAAAAUCUUUACUUGACACGAGAGCAAGAGAUCAUCAUCAAGUAUUUCCAAAUGAUUGCCUAUGGUGGCCAAUCUUCAUGAGUCCAGAACAGAAAAUGAGAAAACCUCCAUAAAAUGUACAUCAAAAAGGCUAAUGAGGGAUUUAAACAGAUUAAAUUAUCUUUUUUUGACAAAUAUAUAAAUAUAGCCUACCAAACAGUGACAGGGAACACUAUGGCCUCAUAAUGUGCUAAGGUUGUAAAAAAAACCUACUUAAAAACUGACAACCUAUGUCACAUUUUCUCCACCAAAUAACAGAAAGAUAUUUAGAGAAUCAUGAAAAAUUUUCAACACUUAAGACAAUUAGAAGUAAGUCCUAGACCGUAAACUGGCACCUCAGCACAAAACAAAGACACAACUCAAAAGAAUGUACAAUCAUCAAACAAACUACUCAACUAAAACAAGCCUAAUUUGAUCUUGAAACAGCUUGCCAAAAAAAAAAGACGGAGGACCCGGAGGGGGGAGGGGAGAGGGGAUGAGAAGGCAUACUAUUUCCAAUUGGGAGAGAGCUUCUUGCUUACUUGAUGGUACAGAAGAAUCUCAUGUGCAAGUUCUGCCGGCUCAAAAAAAUCCCUAUGUUAUUAUAAAAGCUUUAACAAUAAGAAUAGAAAUGCAACAAUGAAGAUGAUGUUGGUUUUUUUUUUCCAACAAGUGACAAUUUUAAACUAUGCCAUACCUCAAGUCACACAAAAUAGUACACCAUUCUGAGAUGUUGUUGUUCCUCUCUUUGCCAACUUGCAGAUGUAAUCUUCAAUCUAUCCAAUGUACACCUAACAAAAAGAAAAAAGAAAAACAAAGCAGUAUGAAACACAUAUCUGUACAUCUAGAAAAGUAGUUAAAUAAUGGCAGCUACCCCUCUUUCUUUCCCCGUCAUUUGCCAAAUUUGUAAAACUUUAGUCUAAUGUAUUGCAAUGAGUACAUUUGAUUAUAUCCAUUAGGAACACAAUGAUGCUUUGGAUAUUUGCUAAACUGAUACAGGUCUCUGUAAAUUGACAUGUGAACUAACAACAAAAAACGAAAUGUUCCAGGUACAAAUGCUAUUUGUUACUUUUAAAGUCAACUUCCAAGGAUAAAAUGGAAAAUAUGUUGCUGCUUGUUAACAUUAAGAUGAUUUCAUUGAUUUCUCAAACAUCCCAUGAUUAGAUUCCAUUUCAUUUAUAGAAAAAAAAAUAAACGAACAAAAGAAUGCAAGAGGUGCAGUUGUCAAAAAUGAUUGCUGUACACUUACAUUUGCCAUUAUAGUAAGCAAGUUUUAGCCUACCUUGCUUAUAGAAUACUAUCCUUACAUUUCAUUCAUCUAGGAUAACAAAAAAUACUAAUAACCUAUAAGACUUGGAGCAUGCUGUGUCCUUAAGGGAGGAAAAAGGAAAAUCACCUUCACCUAACAUCAGGGCUAGUAAUUUACCACCUAAUGGAAAGAAAACGUGUGAAAAAGAUCUUGAUCAAAAAUAUUGUACAAUAUAGGGAUGCCCUCAGAACAAUCAACUCUAGCAGCUGAAACCACAUGCAUGCGUUUGUACAAAGCCAUACAGUGCUAUAAAUUGUAAAUCUAAUAGAUUUUUUUAAGUAACCUAUUCUGUUCUAUACACACCAACUACAUCAAUUAUCAAUUGCCACUGCUGAGCGCUGAGAGUAUUGACAGAAGCAUAUUUAAGUAUGGUGCAUGACACAACAUGCAAUUGAUCUCAUGAAUCAGUACAGGUCACCUUAAAAACAAGCAAGAGGAUUAUAACAGAGAAUUUCUAAGCAUCGACAUUCAAACUCCGUUUACACCAGAUGCUUCAUUCUCUGAGAAUUUAUCCACAGGAUCUAACACCUAAUGAGAGAGACAGCGAGUGGGUCAGUCAUACAAAGAAAGUAGCAACUAUUUGUUAGCCUGUGAGAUAUCAAUUGAUGUGAUUCAUAAUACUACUCACAAAGUCCACGUUAAUUCAACUUUAGUUGAUUUGAAGAGAUGAAUAAAAUUGAAAGGUAACUAACAUCUUGCUUCUUCUUCUCUAACGACAUCUCAUAUUGGCACCAUUGACUAACCAUUCACAAAGAAACCUGAUAAUACAACCAUGCUUGUACUACCGCCUAACUCAAUUGGAGUGAUAAUAAUCAGAAGAAUCUCAUCAUUAAGUAUUCUGCAACAAGAUAAAAUGUAAAAAGCUGAUAUGGAUACUCCUCAAUCCGUCGCCUACCCAGAUCAUGCAAAUGUCCCACCAAAUUCCACUGCAGAAAGUUCCUCAUUUCCACAUAUAAUCAUCAAUUGUUCACAUUCAUAAAUAAUUCACACAACAUAGCACCAGCUUAUUUGAUUUGAAAUAUCACACCGUUUUGUAAUGUAGAGACCAUGAGUAACCUCACAUAAAAAAAAAAAAACAAAAAUAAGAACCACAGACUGUAACAUAGUAAGACCUAAAACCAGUAUCAAGGUAAGUUAAAAUUUCACCUCCCUAUUCCUUGUCUAAUCAAACAUCAGCAGUAAACCUCCAUUUUCUCAAGACAUUAAAGAAAUCUCCAAGUUCCCCCAAGGAAAAUAGCAACUAAAACAUACAAGCGUUGAUGCACCCCUACACUACAAAAGAAAGCAAUAGAGUGUAGAGCUUUUAACCCACAAAACAAAAGAGUGAGUGAUAUCUUUACCACUUCCAGGAAUUGUUUGUUGAAACUGCAACAGCUGACUUCAUCGUUUUGUGCUUGCCUUAGGUCCCAUCCCCAAAUAGUUUGUCACCAAGCCCAUGAUGCCAAACCUAGGUAAAUUGGCAAAUGCAGGGAUAGGUAUGCCAGCAGGGUUAGGUUACAAUAAAGAACACACACUAUAAACAAUAACCUAAAUAAAACUCAAAACAAAAUUGAGACUCUAUCACACAACAAUACUAUCUUGACUGAUCAAAUUUGCAAAUUUAAACAACAGCACUCUCUGGCAAAUGUUAAUUACUGCAAAACCUGAGAUACGUUAUCAGUUAUUAGCAACGCUACAUCCUUUAACAACAUUGCAAGGAGUAUGAGAAUCAUCCUAAAAUCACUUAGUAUCCUUAAUCAAGAUAUCAAUGUAGAUGCUGGGGAUGCUAGGGACACUGAUACCGAGUCUGAAUUUCUAGCUACCUUUACCAAGAUAUUCAUCACUUCCGGUUUUCAUUCUAUAAUUCAGCAUUUUAGUCAUUUCGUAGUCCAUCAUGGGGAGACUAAUAAACUUCAUGGAGAACCGAAAGACGAUAUCAACAAAUUUCACAAUCCUGGCAUCAUUCAUCUCUUAUAGAAAUAAAAAUGACGAAGCUUUUGCUUUCCACCAAAAGGCAUAAACUGAUUGUUACCUAAACCAUGAAAAUCUGCAACCUUUAAGUCAGCCUGUGUCUAGUCACAAAACUUAAUUAUUUACACCUCAAAAGGAACUUAUAAGAAUUAGGAGUAAAACUAAGCUGCGCUGUCACACUUGCACCAAGACAUUCCACAACCUCCAAGUAACUACUUACACAAACCCCAACAAACACAUAAAAUACCAAAGCAAAACAUUCGCAUGCAACAAGAAAUAAGCAACUAAAACCAUAAGCUGAAAACUAUGUAGACCAUAUAACUCACUCUGACAUAACAAUUCACGCAGAAAACAGAUUCCUCACAUCAGUAUCCCAGUUAGUAAUUUCCCAACGCAAGAGCAAAAUCCAGAUGCUCCCCGUGAAAUCUAAGAUAUUUAACACUUACUCCACUUCAGUUGCAACUUAAGCAACGAAACAUAUUUAAGUAUCUUACAAAUUCCCAGAUUUAUGUCUAACCCAAGAGUAGUUUCAAAUUAGGGCACCAAUAGCGAUUAAACGCAUUAAUCUAAGCAAAUAAAACAUAGAUACUUCAGAGCAGGAAUGAGCCAUUAAUGAUAAUAAUGAGAGGGAAAAGAGAAAGAGAGAUGGAAAUGCUUACAUCAUGGCCAUGGAUAUCUGUUUGAAAUCAUGUUUUUCUUUUUGUGGGAAAUGGAGAAGAAUUGCCCAAAAAAUUUCUAAAAUUUAAGCGAGAAUCAAGGAAACUUUAGCUUUGCGGUUGAUCGGAGAAGGAGAGAAGAGGGGAUUGACAACUUCUUUUUAGAGGAGAGGGUAUAAGUGGGCUGGAGUUGCGGUGUGGAGGGAUAUGAGAGAAUUUUUUGUUGGAAUUCUGCCUAGCUGCGGCUGCGGUUUAGAGUUGAAAGGAAACAAAGGAAAAAGGAGGAAGAAAUGGAGAGUGGGGAGAAGAAAGAAAGAAACACGUGUCCAACUCCUUAAAUCUGAUGGCCUUUAAAAAUCACGAGCAACUCACGAGGGCCGACGAAAACCAAAAAGUACUUCAGAGUUAAAGAGCUCUUCGGCUCUUAUUCUGUAUGUGUUGAAAAUCUGCGACACCAUGCUCUAGGGUCUAUAUAUUUCUCAACAGUCCUUCACGCAGAAGCCAUUGCGUCUAAUCCCAUCCGUCUGUCACCUCUUCCGUUCAAGUGGUUCAACCCUCCCCAUGCAGGGUCUGCAGCUUCAAUAUCUUCCUGUUGCUCCAUCUCCUCCUCCUCUUGCUUUGAGGAGGAAGGCAUCCAAUUACCGUACUUGGAUUAAAUCCACCACCCUGCCGAUGCCUCGUACUUGGAUUAAAUCCACCUCCCGCCGUUCUCUGUAUGUCAUUCGUGGUCGUGGUGCUCUAACUAUCCCCAAUUCAGGAAGCUCUUGUCCACCUAGUGACUCAGGGAACUCCUCACCGUCUGGUACGUCUAAAUUUGCUAGUGUAAACUGCUUCAACAUAAUAACUAGCAUUAUAUCCUGUGCUAGGGAAUUACAAAUAGUUAGAAUAAUUCAAAAUUUUUUGAGCAAAACAAAAAAAUAAUAAUAAUUUUGGAAUAAAGUAUUUAGCAAUUUGCAAUUUAAUUUUUGUAUUUUGUACAACUCUUUGUAGUGUGGUAAUAUGUAGAAAAAGAAUUUGAUAGCGUUUUAUUUGUUUUUUAAAUUUUAAAGUGGUAAUGAAUGUGGUAGACAAUAGAAACUAUAGUGGAUUUUGUAGAAUUCUUCGUGAUUUGAAAAGAUAAAUUACAUGGUAUGGACUAAAUUUUAGAAGAAAUUAAAAAUAAUUGUGGACUCUAUAAAACUAGCAAGGAAAGCUUCUAUAAGCUUUGAAUAGGUGAAUAGUAUAUAGUGUAGAUAUAGAUAUGUAAAUAUUAAUUUAUUUUUGUAGAAUUGGAAGCAAUCACUUUGAAAAGAAAUUAAAUUUCAUGAAAAAAUAAGAUAUACAAAAUAUAUUUGCAAUAGUGAAACUGAUUGUUUUUGUAUAAUUUAAAAGCAUGAUGUCCUUGUUUAAUCACUUUAUAAUAAGAUAAUUAGUACAACUCCUUAUUUAUAUAAAAGGGUUGAGGAAAAAAAAUUUAUCACGUUUACAUUUAUAAGACUAUGCAUUGAUGUUUACAAGUUUAUUAUGUUAUUUGUUUAAAUUUAGAAUAUCUUAUAUAGAAAAACAUUUUUCAAAUGACAACAUAUGCCAUUUGUCAUUUGCAACUGAGGAUAAAAACAUUUUUAUCUAGGAAAAUUUAUUGAUAAGUUUUUUUUCAUUAAAUUGAUAAGUUAGCUUAACAAAAUAUUUUUCUCCCUGGAAUAUAGGGAUAAACAUUUGAACCAAACAAACUAAUAACCGAUAUAUAACAUUAAUUGAAUUAAUUAAAGAAUAAAAUAAUUCAAAAUCCUUUAAAAAAUGACGCAUGUCAUAUUAUGAUUGGAACCCUUCUGGAGAUGUAGACUGGUAAAUAGUAUAUAGUAUCGAUAUUAAUAAUAACAAUCAUAUUUUUUUUUUAAAUACGGUUUAUGUACAUGUCACCCUUUUGAAGGUGAAACCGAGCUGGAUCGGACAACUAAGGCUUUGCUUGGAUUGCUAUUUUCCGUAGAAAAAUUUCGUCAUUUUCCGUGAACACAUUUCCCCAUUACCUUUUUUCCUCACAUACAUCAAAUCGCUACAGUAAUUUUUCCAUGAAAAAUGACGGAAAAUGCAAUCCAAACGGGACCUAAGAUUUACGAAUUUGUAUUGCCAAAAUUGGAGGAUUUUGUAACACACAUGGUAAGUAUCUUGCCUUUAUUCUCAUUUGUAUUUUUAUGGCCUUUUUAUGGUUAUGUAAUUUAUUUUCUAUGCUGUCAAAAUUAAAGUACUCUAACUAGCAUUCUAAUGCUUUAAUAACAUGAGACAAAGUUGUAAAAAAUUACAAGCAAUUUUGCUUUUUUGCAAAAAUUAUUUUAGAAUUUGAGUAAAAAAAAGUUUGAUUCGGUGUUGAAAUAAGAAAAUAUAGUAAAAGUUCACAAAUAUAAAUCCCUUCAAAUUUAGAUGGUAAGAAAAAUAAUGAAUUAGAAUAAGAAAAAAAUUCUUACAAAAAAGGAAUAGUUGUUUAAGAAAUUAAUACUUGAAGAUUGAAAAUAUAAUAAAAUAUUUCUAAAAAAUAAUAGUAAAACUUGCCUCGGAGUAAAGGAUUUGGGAGAUCAUAGAAACAAAAGUCCGGUACAAUAAUAUUUCAGAUUGUGUUUAUACAAUGACUAUUUGAUUUUUUCUUUUAUUGAUGUAUUUACCUUAGUAGGGCAAGAGGCUGGUAUGCCUUAGGAAAGAUUUAAAGAGGAAUGUCAAAGAAGAUGAUUAAUCAAUUGAUAAAUCACAUUUAGAGGGACAAGAUUAGUGAAAUUUUGUUAAAAAUUUAUAGAAAUAAUUGUUCAAGUCAUUAAUACCUAAAGAUUGAAAACAUAAUAAAAAAAUCUCUAAAAAAAUAAUAAUAAGACUUGCCUCGGAGUAAUGGAUUUUGGAGGUCAUAGAAACAAAGCUCUCUAAAACAAUGGUAGUUUGUCUUGUUACUGAUGUAAUACCUUAGUCAAUAGAGCAAGAGGUUGGUAUAACUUAGUAAAGUUAUAUAAAGACGAGUGUUAAAGGUAGUGGUUAAUUAAUUGAUACUAACAUCUAUCUAUAGGGACAAAAUGAGUGAAAUUUUGUUAAGUUAUUAUAAAUAGAUAUACUUAAAACUGGCUUUGAAAAAGUUUUGGGGGGCUCCUGCCCUCUCUGCCCUCCCUAGCUUGCGUACACCUACCUACUAUGACCUUAGAUUCCUAAGGCUUUUUGGGAAUCGGAUUGUACAUUUGGUCUUCAUUAUGGAAGGUAGGGUUAUGGGUAAGACAUGUUGGGCUUGGACCUUUGUAUAUCACUUAUAUCAUCUCUUUGGAUUUCAGGUUACGACUUGUUUCAUACUUUUAGCAGUUUGGUUCUAUUUGCAAAUGGGGCUGCCCCUUCCAUUUGUCACUGUAGGAAUAGUGAAGCUUACUUAUAUACUCCACUAUAUUCCAACAAUGGCGGUAUGUAUAUUUUUAUUUUAAUUAUUGUGAUUAGCAGGCUAUCAUAUUUAAUAAUGAUUAACCUUUUUUAACAGUGAUUUUGUCUGGUCUUUUUUGGCUUGCAGGGAAUUGUGACCUAUGUACUGGUUAAUUGUGCUUAUGUUAAGCACCUGAAGAAUAAGAAAGGGUAAGGAAUAAAGAAGAGGGGAAGCUUACCAACCAGUUUCGUCUUUGUCGUUUAUCCGGAAAAAGACGUAUCAGAGUGACAGCUCUUCUUUAUCCCUAGUCGAUUAGGUCUUUCAACAUGUUGCCCUUUGUGGUACUGGAAUACUAGAUUCAUCUACUUCUUCAUCUAUUAUCCUUACCAACUUUCUUCAGUGACGGAUGUUAUGCAGGACAGUGGAGUUUUGAACGCAUAUCUAUCAUUUUGCAUGAUAUUUGAUAGGAAGAUGCUUUUCGCUUCCUACAAACAAAGUUUACUUUAAAUUUUGGUCCAUGGGCAAACUUUAGAUUACGGUUCACGGUAACUUUAAUCCGAGCAAAGAUCCUCCAUAUCAACCAUUUUCAAGAGAUCUUGUGAUUAAUUUGUGUACCACCUCGCACGAUAUGACAGGGCAUCAAAAAAAUUCAUUUACCAAGUUAAGGCGAUGGUGGAAAGGGAAACAUAUCCACACAUUUGAGAGGGCAUAUGUGCUCGUACCCAUACAUGAAAAGUAGGUUGUGCAUCACUUUCUAUUUAGUGGUGUCAUUUCUUGAGUCGGUUGUUGCACAUAAGUGGCUGUGUGCAGUGAUCUUACAUUGUGGUCUCUGCACUUUGAUUUUCAUCUCUUGAUUAAGAAUUUCUGACCUUCUAAUAUUAAUGUAUUUUGAGGUCCGGCAUGCAUUUAUUUAUUUCUUUUUGCUGCGUCUUCUGCUGGGAAGAAGGUAAAUCUUUAUCUCAACAAACAAACAGUUUUUCAGCUGUAAUUAAUUAGGUGAAUGCUGCUUACAACAGUGAAAUCACCUUGUUUGACUCGUACUUGCUGGUCAUGGUUGAUGGCACUAUGAAGUCGAGACUGGGACAUUUGUUUUCGUACAUGUCAAAAAGAAAGCAGAAACUAUUGAAGGAUGGUUUAUCAUUGUUAUAUGCAGUGGUCAUUACGGUGAAAUGUAGAAAUUGGAGACUUCUUAUGCAAAGCAAGCAUCUCUUAAGAGGCAAUAGGCAAUUCAAGUCCCUUUUUACAACAAAAUGCUGGCUGAGGUAAUCAGCAUAGUUGCCUCAUGUUGCAUUGAGAGUGCAACCAUCAAAUUACGCAUCCAAAAUUGUGAUGAUUAUCAGGUUUAAGUACAUGAAAAAUGAGUCAAAAUCACAGCAAGAAAAUGUAGGAACCUCAGCUGGGGAACUCCAAGUUCGAUAUAUAGCUUUCCACGCUCGUAUAUAUUAAGCCAGUGAAAAAGACAACACAAUUAACAAUUUUCAAUUUUCUUUACCGCAAAAUUAUUACACCAGCAACGCUAAAAUUGAUUAUUAAUCUGGCAAACAAAUCUACUGAUACUGUAGCAUCUCAAUGGCCUAAAUCUGGAAGAAAUAAUCAAGUCGCUCCAAGGUAGAGCACCUUAUGCCAUAUCUCAUAUCCUUGUCAAGUUGUAACCGGUGAACGCCAGGGCCCUGUCAAAUGAUUUUGACUUGCAAACUCUCGACAACAAAUUGACAAGUUAGAACAGCAUUUCAUAGAAAUAGUACAAACUAGGAACUUCAUCAUAAUACAAAUGCUCGAGCUAGAAAGAGCUGGAUUUGGAAAAUUUUCGACACCAUUGCAUGGAAAUUUGUAAUAAGAUACAGGCCUGAAACAUUUACCUCCGCAUGCAAGAUAGUCAACGAACAAAGAACCAUAGCUAGGCAAGGAAAAGGAAAGGGAGGGACCAACAUGAUAUUAUUGGCAUGCCCGGAAUUGGAAAGGAUCUUAGUCCAAAGCCUCUGAAACCCUUGGCUCAAAAAUAGAACAAAUGGAGAAAAAAAAAAAAGAGAGAAAGUCCAUGACCUCAGCUGAACAGGUCAGAUCCAUUCAAGGACAAGGAAAAGAAAUGGAGGAACCACAUGAAACCAUGGGCAUGCCUGGCCUCGGUAAGGAUUCUCUCCAUCCAAUCUUCAAGAUUAAAAAAUUUAAGAUCGAAAAUUAAAAAUAAAAAUAAAAACCAUAAAAAACCAACGCAAAAGCAAAAGAUAUAAACAAAGAAAGAUAAAAAGGUUCCUUUCCAAGCCAGGCGAUGCCCACAAUUUCCUGCAGAUCUAGCUCCGUUUCCACCUUACCCGUUUGUUGCUGAGCUCCAAUAUCACCCUCUGUACCAUAAGUUCAGGUAAAAAAAAGGCUAAAAAAUAACGAAUUUACACCAAGUUUAAUGAGCCGCUCCUUUUUCUUCCUUCUUUUUUUUUCCCCUCACUAGAAGAGAAAGUUAGCCUAAAGAAACUAGCAGCUGCAAGAGCCAAGAGGGGAGGACGGGCAGGGAAAAAAACCCUAAGAGAGAAGCACUGAAUCGGGUCUAGCGACUUUCUGUUUCAUCGUUCCACACCUUUUAUAAACUUUUCCCCUCCAGAAGUCCAAAGACUGAGG
rnacentral:lncRNA from 1 species